AAGCCGAUCCUGUACCGCUUGAAGGCUAUGCCAAAAUUUAAUUGAGAAAUGGAAAGGGGAAAGAGGAUCCUUCUCUCCUAAGCUAUCUUCCUCUUUGUAUCACGUGUCUGUGUUACACCGACGGCUAUCGUCAGAAUAGAGGCGUGACGCACUACCAGCAUUUCAAAAUAAUCCAAGGCUCCUUUUACCUAACUUUUGUUUGCACUUGGAAAUUGAAAUAGAGUGAUUACAUUGUAUAAACCUUACUAUUUAUUUUUGUAAAGAGUAAAUUUUACAGCAUUCCACAGUGCACGCCAAAACUAUCGUGGUUAUCCGUAUAGCCUUUUACUUUCCCAAACAAAAUCCUCCGACCAUUCACGAUCUACUUCCCAAAAAUUCACCCAACGUUGUGGUUCCAUGAUCAGUCUCUCGUCCCGUUAUCCACAAACCCCACCAACCUGCCGAAUUUCGGGUCUGGCCUUUCGCAGAACCUGAUCCAAAAUCUAAAAACAACGGAUUCAUUCAAUGUGCAAACACCUGACAGAUCCAACCGCCUGCGCCCAAUCUUCUUCCCUCCCCCGACGUCCCUCCGUAGCAGCCACGGCCCGCGCCACCCCCCGGACGUGUUCCGCCAAGCCGAGGAACCGAACGAAGCGAGCGUGCGUGCGGGCCCGCCGCCCGCGUCUCUCCCCUCCCCCACCCCGGUGGGUCUCGCGCGGCGCAGACGCCCAUAAAAACCAAACCCCCACGACGACGCAUCGCCCUCUCCUCCGUUCCCCACACCAAGUCGCCCGCCGCUGGGAUUGGGAGCCCCGAUACGAGACGAGGCCAGCUGAGCAGCGGGCACCCCGGGGGGCCGGAGCGCGCGAUGGACGAGUACCGGACGCGCCGGUCGCCGGCGGGCGAGCGCUUCAUGGGGAUGUUCUCGUCGCCGUCGACGCCCUCGUCGUCCCCGACGGAGCCCUCGUUCGUCGCCGGGGACGAGCUCCACGAGGACGACUUCCUCUUCUCGUCGCCGGACGCCGCGCCGCCGCCGCCCAGGAGCCCCGGCCGGGGGGCGCCGCAUGCGCAGGGGCACCUCGGCCUCCUCGCCGCGCUGGCGAUGCACGAGGGGGACAGGCGCCUCCUGGUCCGCGGCGGCGCCGGAGGGGGAGGGACGGCCGCCGCCGCCGCCGCCGCCAGCGCCGGGACGCUGCUCCGGCGCAAGGCGACCAUCGCGGCGGCGGCCGCCUCGGCCUCGGCCUCGGCGGCGGCGGCGACCGGGACCGGGGCCGGGGCCGGGAGCGGGGGCGCGAUGUCGCCCACCCAGUCCCCGAACUCCGCCGCGCGGGCCAUCCCGGCGACCGCGAGGCCGAAGAACGCCGGGCCAGCAGCCCCGCCGUACCACCAGUCGGCGCCCGUGAGGGUGCCCGUCCGGCCGCCCCGGAAGCCGGAGAUGGGCCGGUGGGACGAAUUCGACGACGACGACGACGACUUCCGGCGCGGCGACGCCACCAUGCAGCCCCCGCACGAGAUGGUCGCCCGCGCGUCCGCUGGUGGGGCCGGGCCCACCGCGCCUUUCUCCAUGCUCGAGGGCGCCGGGCGCACGCUCAAGGGCCGAGACCUGCGGCGGGUGCGCGACGCCGUGCUCCGGCAAACCGGGUUCCUCGACUGAAUCCGGCGAGGUGAUGUGGCUCUGGCCUUUUGUUCAGAACCGUGUGCUCAGAGUCGUAGAUGCGUUACAGUAGGGUACAAUUGUAGAGGGUUCUUGCUGUAGAUCGAGAGGCAAAGCGGGAAGGUAAGGUAACAUGUUGAGUUUUUCAUACAACUGCUUGCAAUUUUGGUGUCCUUGGAUGUGUGCGUGUCAUAUUACUGUAAGCUUCAGCAGUAAUAAGAACUGGCGUCCUGUGUCUGUCUCUGCGAGCUCUCUGUAAUUCAGGAGGAAAGAGAUUUUUUUUCUUUGUCAGGGUUGUUUAUUAGGUGUCCCUAUCAACUAUCGUGAUGAUUGUCAGAGACCUAUGGUUUUCGUUCUUAGUGAAAAUAUUAGUUUUGUUUCUUACUCUCUUAAUGUUACCAAGCUGCGGAUGCUGAUGGAAAUGCAUUCUUUCUGUGCUGCUUGCCUGAUGUGCAUUCUUGAUUGAAUCUACUUUGUUUUCAGAGAGCUGCUGAAUUAUUUGAUCACCAAUAUGAUAUCACACCCUAGUGAAUUGAUAAUGCUUUCAAAUAUACUCCUACGGAGUAUCAGAGAUGUAUUUGGGUUUGUUCGGUAGCAUCUGUAUAUGCACUCAUUCAGCAAUGCAUGCUCAUGGUUUAUUUCCUGGGAGGAUUUGUAGUUGGUAACAAAGCUCUCAAUUCGUAGUUGGAAGAUGUAUAUGCACUCAUUCAACAACGCAUGCACAUGGUUUAUUUGCUGGGAAGGACUGUAGUUGGUACUAGAACUCUUAAUUCAAUAGGCAUGAAAAGCUGCAGGAUCUGAUCUUGUUUUUCUGUAACUCACAGUAGUACUGUACUUCUAUGCGUCCAUUCAUAACAAUUUUGUAGAUAACCAGUUCGGUGUUCACGAUGAACUGUUUUUCAUGUUUAGUUUUCAGGAGGUGCUUAAUGAACUGUUUUUCAUGCUUAGUUUUCAGGAACUGUUUUGUAAUGAGUUUGCACUGGUGCUUAAUGUGUGCUAACAAGAUGUUUGAGCCUAUUUAAGCACCAGUUUGCAUUGAAGGGACUUCUAUACUGAUGUUUAAUGACGUGACAACAUUCUCUCUCCUUAAGCACUCAUGUCUAAGCACCUUGCAUUGUAAACGCCCUGAUGGCAAUCACUUGUUGAACAAAUGAAAUAUACCAGCAACAUAUUUGGCAUUCAAUUUUACUAGUUUCUUUUAGCUUAUACUUCCACCUUGUUUUUUUUUGGGCAAUAUACUUCCACCUUGUUGUACAGCACACAAUGCUGAAAGAUGCCAGGUGUACUACUGGUACUAGUAGAAGAACACAUAAUCUUUCUUCGGUGCUUCAUAACUUUCUGCCUGCACUUUAGCGUCUGUAUGCUCUAGUGAUAUAUUUCAGUGCCUUUAGGUCUGUGGCUCUUGUAGCUGCAGUAAUACAGUAUUAUGAAUGUUGAAACUUUGGGUGCCCUGGACUAUACACCAUUGAACGCUAGUUAAGAUGCAUCAUUCUUCUGGAAAUUCGAAACAAGGUGCUUUUUUUCUGAAAAAAAUAAGCAAGGUGCUUGCAGCUAGGAGAAUUGUGCACAAACAUGACGGCAUCACAACAAUUAUCUCGAACCGCUGAUACUUCAAGUGAUGCUUAUCAUGAAUCAGCCAGCCUUUUGGAUUCUGUUGGGCAAUCCUUAUUUGUGCUGUUGGUGUUCAUUAAACAAAUCCACAAAUGAUAUGGGAGCCAGCCCUGAUGCUUUAUGUCUUUAUCAAACAUGGUUUUGUGAGACAAUUUGGUUUGGCUCGGACUGUGAAUCACUUGGCUCCACUUUUAGUGGCCCUUUGUUGGGGGAAGUGGGUUUUGUUGCCUCUUUUACUCUGCAUUUUGCUUUAUUCCUUUGUGCCCCCCCUUUCCCCUUGUCAAUUUCAGAUUGUGGGUGCAGUGCUUUAGUCAAUUGCUGGACCCCUAUUCAGCAUGGCAAGGAUCAAUACAAUGAACCGUCCUAAUUUGCUUCAUGGUGUUCUGUCUCUAGUCUCUACAUCUGUGGGGCUGUGUUGAGUGUGAAUUUGCUGCCGGAUUCCCCAUUGAGUGAGAACUGACCGCGCUGCUUUGCAAAUUUGAUUUGUCGGAAGCAUUUUUUGGUCAGUCUCGACUGGAUCCUGGCAAUUGCUGCGCCUGUUUGUUUGCUAAGAUGCUUCCAGAGAUAUGCAGGUCUAGUCAGAGUGCUGUAUCUGUUUCCUGUUGGUAGGGCAGCCAUGCGCCCAUGAUUCCAUCUUUUAGUUCUUGCAUCAAAGGGCAAGGCACAUCAGAGACUAUCAGAAAGCAAUGCAUCAACCUUUUUCAGGAGCCAUUCUUCGAUCUUCCCUCUUCAUUAAAAAAAGAUAUUUUGACAUUGCCUUUUUUUUUUCUUUGGAGAAGGAUGCCACUUUUGACCACUCUAUUAGCUUAUACGCUGCAGAAUGUUAAGACAAAUAAACAAUCUGUCAUGAAAAUUAUACCCAUACAUUCUGCAGCGCACGCUUUUUCUUCACUCUUCAUUGAAAGGGUGCUCGGCAUGUUUGAUCAGCGAUCGCCAUUGAGUCAUUGACCUUUGGCAAGUGCAGUUUCGCAGUGAGUUUAAUAUCUUAGAACACACAAAAUAGGAACUGGGUAGAAGUCAACACUGAAAUUAAUGGAAAAAACUCGAACAUCACUGAAAUUGACAUACAAAACUCGAACAUCACCGAAAUUAACAUACAUUUGGAACUUGAUAUCCGAAAGAGAACUCCUAGAGAGGACAUACCCAGUUGCGAGCUGAGUUGUUCUGUUCUCACGAUGCUGCCAUCAGUUUCUAGUUCGACACGGUUCAUGCCUGCUGCCGAAGCCAAGUACAGAGCCUGCAGACAUGCCAACUUCCAGACUUCAUAUUCUCGCCGCGGAACGCACCAUCAACAUUAAUCUUCUGGUAAUCCUCCCUCGGCUUGGCCCAGGAUACUGAAUUUCCCUCGGCAUUGUCAUGUCUCUUACUGAAGAAUUCAGUAUACUCCCAAAUAUUCAGUAGAACCUCCUUUUGUGAUGGUGAAGGCUGCCGAUUCUACUCUGUGAUCCUCCAGCGGCAGCUCACGCCACAAAGAUUUUGCAAACUUGCAUUUACCCCAUCUUCAUCAAGUCUGAAGCACGUAGGAGCAUAGGGCAUCUUGUGUCACAUCCAGGCCUCUUGACUUGAUCUUGCGUCUCAUAGGCAAGCUACUGUCGGAUGGUGAACAGUCCCCCUGAGCAUGUUCCGUGUCCAGUGCAGGAUUUUUUUUUUUGAACGUAGUGUCCAGUGGGAUUCAUCAAUGCAUACUUUUUGUAAGAAUUUUAGGACGUUUUUUUAGCAGGAAAAAACGGGGGAAAGAUCGAGGAGCGCGCCAAUGCGACAGAGAAUUAAAAAGGCUGAAAGCCUUGGCUCGUUUCGGACCACUAGACAAGCCCAAUCGGCGAAAUCAAGAACAAAGCCCAAAAGCCCACCCCACAAAUUCGCAUCGGCGGCGGCGCCUCGCUGUCUUCUCCGCCCCCUCCCGGCCUCCCCGGGCCCCGGCGGUGCGCUCCCCCCGCCGCCGCCGGGCAGAGGCAGCAAAGCUAGAUGCAACCAAAGCAAAAAAGGGGACCAAAAAAUUGAAGAAGAAGAAAAUGCAAAAGCAAACUCGACAGUGCUCUCCACGAGACCACGACCCACAUGGAUGCUCCUCCUCUUCCUCCUCGCUGAUUCACUCGACAGUGCCUUCUACCCCAGCCGCAGACGAGCCGGCCGGCCCCACUCGCCCAGCGCCGGCCCCCAUUUCUGAGCCCUGCGCCGCAGAGAGGGGCGAGCCGACGCGCCGAUGAGACCGAUACGGCUGCCGGAGCCGGAGCCUCCGGGAGGGGCCACGCCGGAGAUCUUCGCCGCGGGCGGCGGCGCGGCGGUGGUGCGCCGCGCCGUCGUCAUCGGCAACGGCUGCGCCGGCGCGGAGGGCCAGUGCCUCGGCCUCCUCCGCGCGCUCGGCCUCGCCGACCGCCUCACGCUCUACGUACGUAAGCCCCCAACUUCCCUCAUUCCCUGCCAGCCCUGCGGUGGUGGUGUGGUUGGAUUGUUCACCUUAUUUUGUUGCUCGUUCGAUUGAUGUCGUCAGUUCAGUUAUCCUUCUAUUGUUCUACAUAUAAUGGCUGAUUCGUACUGCCACAUACAUUUCUGAUGCAACAUUUGGGCUGAUUUGGUGUGGCUAGAGAAAAUGGCAUUAUGCAUCCCCUUCUUUUUUUUUCUUUUGAGAAAAUGGCAUUAUGCAUCGAAAAGAAUUUGGUGCCUCAUGUGUGGUCCUGUGGGGGUGUAUCCACGGCCCAUGGUUUAAGAGAAAAUUGUACAUUUUUGUUCACAUAAGCUGUGGCUCAAGAGUUGAGGUAUGCAUUGAGUUGGGUGAGAAUGGUUCUCAGUUCCAUUAAUGUAUUCUGCAUUGAGUUGUAUUUAUUAAUUGCCCUAAUAUUAAAUUGGGAUUUUUAUCUUGCUAUCGCUGAGGGGACUGUAUAUCUGAAUCUUUGCAAUUGUGGUGGAUCAGAUGUAAACAUCAGUCUUGAGAUGACUCUAAAAUGGAUCGGCAGUUAAUUCUGAAAAUUUCUGAAUGUGGAACCAGUUAAUUACUGGCCUAUGCAUUGCCACAUGCCUGCGUCUAUUGUAACCCGGGUUUUUCUUGGCAGUUUCUCUGCCACAAUGCAGACUGGAUUUUUUUGGUUGUUUAUUUUGAUGUAUCUGGAAAUAUCUGUAGCCUGAAAUGCUGUAACUGAACUGUUGUUUCUUUCCAGUGCCACUGCAGUCGUACAUUUUAAAAGGAUAUGCAUUGCUGUUUCUUGUCUGUGCAAGCUUUGUUCUUUUCUGUAUGGAAGAGAAAUUUAGUGAUAUCUCAACUUACCUAUUUCUCAUCUUCCUUUAAAAAAAAAUUCUCAUGGCAAAUGUUCUAAAAAGCAUGGCAAAAGUUUGAAAUGGGAGUUAUCAUCUAGAUUCAGAUUACAAUUCAGCUUUCCUCUCCUAAAGACCCAUUUAUUUGUUCUUUCAUUUAAGCUAAUGGUUGCUAAUUACUUUUCUUUUUUUUCUGAAUAUGUCUGGUUUCACAGCGUGCUAUCAGGCCCACAGGAGGAAUCAACAAGUGGCUGCAUUUUCUCCCAAUCUCCUUCCACAAAAUACUGGAUCAAUUUCUCAGACGCGUAUUUUCUGAUAUGAGAUUUGCAACAUUGGUUCAAGGAAACAAGUUUGUGCAGUAUCCUGUCCAUAACUGUCAAUCAUUUGGACUGUCUUAUGUACUGGAAGCAGAUACUCAAAAGAUGGUGACCAUGGUCCGUGAUACCUUUGAGAAGUAGGUCACGUACCUUUCCUUAGCUGUUUUCAGCAUUAUCCAUAUAAGCAUGGUUUCUUCUUAAUUUCUGAUUUUUUUUCUUAAGUCUCCUGUUUCAAUUUAUGAGGUCAAUCGUCAUGUUUCCAUUUCUUCACACAUGCUAUAUUUGAAAUGAUGGUCAUUUUUUAUGGCUUGGUCACCUUUUUUUUAAAAAAAAAUCACUUGUGAAUUAGAGCAUAGUAUUUAUAUGGCUUCCUGUAUAAACUUAAUCACAUUCCUCGAAAUAUGGCUGAGGUUUGUUGGCUUCUCAGGUAGAAGUAAACUGUAGUGUUCUCAAUCUGAAUUUAAAUAAGCAAAUAAGGUUGCAAGCAUGCAUUAUGUUGAUAGAACUAGCGUAACAUGUCAGUUGUGUGUUGUCAACUUGUCGUUGCACUGAGAUAAGAUGCUUUCAGGAAUAAAAUUGGAAAUAAGAAUAGUUCUUCAUAGAUUUAAAGGUCAACUUCUCAAAGCUAAAGCAUUUUUCUUGAAUUUCGUAGAUGACUUUUGCUCUGCAAAAUGAUGACCAGCCUAGACAUUGUCUAAGACAUUUAUUCAUAGGUUCUCUAACAUCAUCAGCCCCUUGCUUCAUCAAAUUUUGAUUCACUUUCAGAGAAGGUCCUGCAUUAGUUGUUGCUUGUGGCCGAGAUACCAUAUCGUAUGCAAGUUCCAUAAGGUGUUUAGCUCCAGAUAAUGUGUUUGUCAUUCAGGUAGAAUACCAUGAUCAGUAUAACUGUUUAAUUCAUGUUACUCAAUUGGAGAUUUUGAAUAUUUUUCCUACUUCUUUAGCGGAUCAUUGCUUAGCAAGUGAUUUGUAUUUAUUUGUUUUCAGAUACAACAUCCCAGGUUUCACCUUGAUAGGUUUGAUUUAGUCGUGACACCUCACCAUGACUACUAUGCUUUAACUGCAAAAGGACAACAAGAAGUUCCACGCCUUCUCCGGAGAUGGAUUACUCCACAAGAACCACCUGGUCCAAACGUGGUAUGCUGCUCAACUUUCUUAUAUAAAAUGCCCUGUAUGUUUUCAUCAUGUAAUUGUUGUGCUGUUCUUAACAUGUGAAACUUGCAAAGCCAGGUCCUCACUGCUGGUGCACUACACCGAGCAGAUUCUUCUGCAUUACGUUUUGCUGCUGCAGAUUGGCAUGCCGAACUUGCUCCUUUGCCAAAGCCAUUGGUAAUAGUAAACAUUGGUGGACCAACAAGUAAAUAUUCCCCACCCUCUUGCCCUUCCUGCGCCGACUAUAUUCCAAUGUACCCAUCUAAGUCAUGUCCUUGAUUGACUUGACUGGGGAACCGAACAAUCUGCAGUACCAAUUAGUGGUACCACAAAUUAUUACAAACACCGAACUCCUUUGUUCAGGAACAUAUGAUCAUCCUACAAUUAAACUGUAGUCCCAUGUUGAAUCCGCACUUCAUGUAUAGUGUUAUCUUCAAUGACAUAUUUCAAUACAAAGGUUACUUCUUCAGAUUUUGGUCAUAUUCUAAUAUGAAAUGAGAAUGGUAAUCAUAUAUGGUGUGAAGGUAGCCUACUACAGUACUACCCCAUGUUAGGUGAUAUGUUAACACAUUGAUGGCAUCCAUUCAAUCUAUGCGAAGCAAUUGCUCAAGUGCACAAAUGCUAGAUCUCUGUUCUGCACAACUAAUUGUAUGCACGUCGAUAUAUUCCAGAUUCCUCAUUCCCUUUCAUGCAAACUCUUGCAUUCCACAUGUUCUUUUUGUUCCUUUAAUUAUUGAGGAAAAGUUCAGAACCUUUUGGAGUUUGAAAUUGUGGAGACCAAUAAAACAAAGGCUUUUAGAUCUCUUUUGUUUCAAUAGUUUUAGUAUAUUUUACUCUACAGUUGAUCUGAUUCUUUUCAACUUCAUAUGAAUAUAUGGGUAUUUCUAAUGCAUAGUCUUUUCAAUGAUUAGGAAACUGUAAAUAUGAUCUGGGCCUUGCCAAGCAGCUGGUAAGCUCACUACACAAUGUUCUGAAGACCUGUGGAAGUGUCAGAAUUUCAUUUUCAAGGAGAACACCACAAAAGGUAGGGUUACUAGGACCUUUGAGUGUUCACUUUUAUUUUUUAGGAAGUGUUUACACUCAAUUUCUGUAACUAUUGUCGGCAGGUGUCUGAUCUCAUAUUGAAAGAGUUCAGUACACAUCCUAAGAUUUAUAUUUGGGACGGUGAAGGUAUAUUUGCAAAUGAUAUUGGUGGCAUAUCUUGAUCCUUGUGUAACAUGGAAAAAAUGUGUUGAUCUGUUUUUGUCACUGCAGAUCCUAACCCGCACUUGGGCCAUCUUGCAUGGGCUGAUGCUUUCAUCAUAACAGCAGAUUCUAUAAGCAUGCUUAGUGAGGCAUGCAGCACUGGGUUAGUUGUUAUGCUAUAUUCUUACACUGUGCCAGACUUUGACGGAAUGCAUCACUAAGCUUCGAGUAUAACUUCUUACAGGAAGCCUGUAUAUGUCAUUGGAGCCGUGCACUGCAGGUGGAAGUUCUCAGAUUUUCACAACCGUCUACGUGAGCGUAGGGCUGUCCGGCCAUUCACUGGGCUGGAAGAUGUAAGCUUUCUUAAUGCUACCCUUUGUCAGUUGAUUUCUCUUGGGCGGCGCUUAGAUAUACAUCCACAUAUUUAGUUCUAACAUACAAUUGCACCAAAGUGAUUUCCAAUUAUCUCAGUUUUGAAGCUCGUCAGCAUUGAAUUUGUAAACGCCACAAUGUCCUUCAUCGCAGAUGUCAGAUAGCUGGAGCUAUCCUCCCCUGAAUGAUGCUGCUGAUGUGGCUUCACGUGUUCGUGAAGCGCUUGCACAACGUGGAUGGAGGUUGGGUUAACAGUAACAGAAGUAGAGAAUGAAAACUAUUAUGCCAAAUUUAGAUAUUAAAGAACUUCAGUAUCACAGAAAUUUGGUAUUUAGUCAUGCCUGGCUUGCGAGGCAAAACCAUACUUGACUGAUUGUGCAAUUUGCAUGAAGCACACUCGGUUCCACAUAAGUUUUGAGGAACCAUACAUCCAAAGGUGUGAAAUCAUGACAUAUCCAUUCACCAUUGUAUUGUUCUGUUGUAAAGACCCCGAUUGAACUGCAAGUGGGAUUAGAUAUCACUGAAAGAGUUGGCCAUGGCAUCAUGGGACAUCUGCCAUCGUGGGCUGUGACUGUGCUGAGUUUAUCCUGAAACGCCAUUGCUCCCUUGUGCUGCGACGGUGUGUAAAUCCAUUCGUGGCGUGACAAAUUAUGGAGGCCACGUUAGGUGGCAGCAUAAACUAAGCCCCUCCUUUGCGAAAGGGGUAAUAGAUCUAGCUUGGUUGUUGCUUCUCUUGUUUAUCCGGGUGCGGCCGAUACUUUGGAUUCGCCUACUUGUCUGGCCGAUCCGGUUGCUAGAUGUAGCUGACCAUCUGUUGGAUGGCCGCUGGCUGCUGGACAUUUUUAAUCGAAUCAAUCAUCCGGGUUCUGAUUGGUCUGUCAGUAGCAUUGCUUUUCCGUGUGUGCUGAUCCGAAUUCAGAAUUAAGUCGCAAGCUGUAAUCAGUUAUCAAGCUACUACCUCCAUCUUCCCUAAAUGUUUGACGACUAACUUUUAGGGAUGGAGUAUUUAGGAGUAGACGUUUUGCGCUCUACAGAAAAAUCAAGAACGCGUGUGUUUUAUACUUUCAAAAAAAGAAAGAAGAAUGCGUGUGUGUAAACAUGUGAAGUCUUGGAUGACUUUGUGCUGGUUGCUGGGUCCUUCGGUCAUUCCUUUCUUGCUCCUCCGUGGCUGUGCAGACUGCAGCGACUGGGUGCACAGCUCGUAGAUUCCUUGGGAAACCGUGUCCGUGUGGCGGCAUUUACCGUUGUGCCCUUGAGUAAGUUUCGCAAAGAAACAAACUACAGGACCAGGAUAUUGGGUCGCAAAGAGCCAAAUUACAGGCCCGCAAUGGUUGGAUUUGGGUUUGUACUUUGUACGGUCACUGCAAGGUUCAGCUUCAGGUCACUCUCAACGAGAGUCUCAUUCUCGUUAAAUAGAGUGCUAUAUCAGCAUUUUCGUGGCAAAAAAAUGAAUAAAAAGAGAGGUGAAAUGAGUUUCAUAGUGAUGAAAUCGUAUAUACACUGUUUCCAACACAGUUUGUACACAGCAUGUAGCCUAAGAAAUAACAACGAAUGAAACAAUGCAUCAUAUGAAAUUAUUUUAACUACAAGUUAAAUGUUUUCUUUAUUUUGGAAAUAUAAACAUGAAAUCCUUCAUUGAAAAUGACCUUAUAGUUGUUUGGCGCCUAUGGUAUGGUCUCACGAGAUCCAAGGUGAGUUUUGUUAAGAAGCCUAAAAUUUGAUGCAUGUGGAAGAUUCCUUUUUGAAUUGAAGGCUUGUGGAAAAUUCCUUUUUGAAUUGAAGGCUUGGUCACACACCUAUAAAUUUUGAAAAUAAAUAUAGCAUCUAUAAGUAUUUAUACUUUGAUUGUUUGGCGCUGCAAGCGCGCGGAUGUCCUAUGAAAAAUUUUCCAUCGGACGCUACGACGAAACAUUGAAAACGGUCACUAUUUGGAACAUGACAAAUGAUGUGUAAAAAUGAUUACGACGUUCGACUCUAGGAUAGAAAAUUCCCACCGCAACAUAAACACUAUAUUUCAUGCAACAUCCACUAUGAAACAUGUAGAAAUAAUAGCUGCAACAUCGAUGUUUAACAGUUGCAACAUCGAUGUUUAACUAUUGCACCAUAUGUUGGAGCAUCCGAUUUUUUAAAAUUCCAGACGUCCGUGCUGUAGUAUUACCGUUGAUCGUUUUGUUAAACCUCUUCAUUAUGGUGCGUGUAGCAUUGAUUUGCCACGUGUAAUAAUGAGUAAACCGAUUCUCCCUUAUCAAGGGGAGCCAGGAAGCUAGAAACUUUUCAUUAUCCAAAAAAAAGAGACUAAACAUAGUUUUUCUCGAUCAUAAAUCCAGCGUUAUUUCUUCUUUCUUAGUCUAUUAGCAUCACCAAAUUCUAGAUCUAGCAUAAUCAAAAGUUUAGACUUGGCUAUCUAAAAGUAUAAACUUGACAACAAUAUAUAAACUGAAUAAUUUGAGUGCUUCGGUGUUACAAGUGACCUUUAGAUAAUUAAACAAAAUUAUAUAUCAUCAACUUUAUAUUGUGACUAUAGAUUGAUUGGCGAUUCAUGUUUGGAACUUCAAAGAUGGCAAUUAGCUUAUAUUUGCUCACUCUCGGAUGUAUCUUAUUGCUUGUUCUAACUUUAUGGUUUUGGGCCUAAUUAUGUUGAGCUUGGCUUAUACUUUGAUUUCACAAUUUUUUGGCUAAUAUAAUUGACCAAUUUAGCAACAUCAUCUAUGAGCGUGCUUGGAACUUUUGCCGCUGCUUGCCUUGUCAGGCUGGGCAAAAGAAAACGCGUUCGCUUCUCUUGCUGCAGUACCUCAGGUCCUGCGCAAGCUAGUUUUACCUUGCUGCAGCAAAGCGAGCCGGAUCGGCUCUCCGCAUCGGGCAAGGUGAGGCAAGACAAGGCUUGCUUGGAAACCGAACGCGCCCUAUGCGACUGUGCUACAUCACAUUGCACAUGGGGAAUUAGUUAGAUACCUUAUUAAACUAAAUGACCUUUUAAUAUUGGAAUACAAUCACAAAGAACUUCGGUCCAAGAUUGGAUUUUCAACGCCUGGUGCAAGGCAGGUUUUCCUCCUCGGUCAGUUUCUCUCCUGGAUCUUCUUCUUCGGUGUUCUGGUUGGUGGUCUCCUUUGGCCGAUCUGCUAUUAGGCUUAGUGUGGAAUUAGUGGGUUUGAUUCUACAAUCUUGCUUGGGUGGAAUCGUUGGUGAUUUCGAUGUUCAGCACCUCUCGGGUUUCAUAUUUUCCUUCUCAGUGGCUUCGAAGGAUGUUGGCUUUCUGGUUUACAUGCUUCGUUCUCAUGUUUGCAAAUCUUUUGCCAUUUACUUUGUUCUAUGGGGUAAUGGUGGUCCAAAUUGGGAGAAGGAUUACAGUAUCUGAUUGCAAGAACAGGCCAAGGAAUGGACUCAUGUUCAUAAGAAAUCUCGUAAGCCUUCCUAUGUGGAGGUGCUUCAUUUUGGUUUAGGAUCAUGAUUCUCUUUGCUCAAGCGAUCGGUGUUCAAGAGGCUAUCUUUCCCGACGAAUUAUUAUCAGCAAAAUUAUGCCACGGGCUCUGCUGAUCGGGUUCUAGUUCAUGAUCGUCUGGUUUUCCCUAAUAAUUUUUUUGAACGCAAUUCUCUGCGUUCUUCAAUCCCUCGGGAGCGGGUUCCGGGGCCAAAGGCUUCAAAUUCAAAUUCGAAAUCUAGCUCCUUUUCAUUUGGAAAGUCUGUUGAGAUGCGUUGUUUCCGGUGCCUAUCCCCGGAUCACCACGUUGCUAAUUGCUGCAAUCAGGUUAGGUGCAAAUCCUGCUUUUUUUUAUGGCCAUACGGCCCGCUCCAGCCAAUCUUCUCGAACCCAGGCACGCGUCUAUCGUGCCAAGGAGUCUGGCCCGGGUCAAAGUUCCUCUUAGUGGAAGCCUAUAAAUAUCGCUUUGUUAGCAUUGCCUGGCUGCAAUCCCCCCAACUCCUCAUCUUCUUCGGAACCAUCUCUAGCUACUGUCACCCCCACGGAAAACCCCACCCCCUCCACCCCACCGCCGCGGCCAGUAGCCACCAUGGUCAACUUCCCAGUUGAUCUCUGGCCCUUCGCUCCCCGUGGCUUCGAAGUGUGCCUCCAUGAUCCCAACACCCUUCCUCUGCGCCUCAAUGCCUACAUCGCGGGCUGCAUCGACAAGGUUAAUGCGGGUGUCACCAUCGUCAUCCUGUCUGCAACCUGGAGAUCCAAGCAUGUUCGAUUGGAGAAGCUUUUAUCACCUUCAACAGCACCCUCGAGUGAGAGAUUUCUGGGCAAGGUAUGGCCUUUUGGUGACUAUCAGAUGAGAUUCAUUAAACAUGAUGAAGGAUUUAAUGCUCGUUCUCAUGAUUUGGACCGUGAGUCUUGGAUUAUGCUUCUCAAUUAUCCCUUAGAUCUGCGUCAGGCUACACAUUUAGCUAAGGCAAUUGCUGGUUUUGGUUUACUCAUGCAAUGGCACCAGACUAAUUAUAAGGGAAGGGUGAUUGUUAAGGUCUAUCUGAAUGAUGAUGCAAAGAUUCCCCAAGCUGUCACCUUGAUGAUUGGUAAUCCUUCGAAGGCGAAGUCCAUUUCCUUCCAGGUGUAUGCACUGUGCAAGAAGGAUGUGGUUCCUCUACAGGAUGAGAAUCCUUUGCCUGAGGAGGGUCCCAUUCAUCCCCUACCUUAUGAAGCACCAAGGUGGAUGGGUCAUGUAGGCCAUGGUGGGUUUUCAGCUGAAUCUGGUCAGCAAGAUGGCAUGGGCUCCAACCACAAUGAUGGCCAUGGGGGUGCCAUGGAUGAAGCUGAGGAUAGGAUUAUGAAAGAGGUCAAUGCAACUGGGGUCCAUUCUGCUAGUUUCGCUGCAACUGAUGAGGCUGAUGUGGCUGAUGCUGUUGGUGAUCCUGCUGGUUUGGAUGCUCCUAGGCUCAAGGAACAGGCAACUGCUACAAAGGAACAGAGCAAGAGUACCUUCUCAGGAGCCAGGGAGGAUCUUGCAGCAUCUCUCAACCCUUCUGUCUUCAUCGAGCCAUCUCUGCUCCCCCAAGAAAACACCUUGCUGGUUUUAUCCAAGGUGAUUAAUCUCCCCCUCCUAUCAGUACCUCCUCCUCUCGGUAGUUAUUCUUAUAAAUUCCUCUUCCAAUUGGAUGUUGACCUUAACACCCAGAUUCCCACCUAUUUUAAUGAUCCUGAUGUGCUUAUGCAUCUAGCAAAGGUUCUGGUGGAUGAGGAGGAGGGAGCUGAUAAGGGCGUGAUAGAGGAGGGAGAAAAAGACUGUGACCUGAUGAUCGUGGAUGGCCUAGUGCCCAAAACAACAUCGCGCAAGAGACGUGCCAAGAAGCUCCAUGAACCGCCGGAUGUCAAGUUUGUCCGCGGGAGUCAAAGGCUAAACAAGGAGGUUGACAGCUUAAAAGAUGGAGCAAGUGCUGCUGCAGCGGAGCGGGAAGCGGCAUCGCAAGCUCUGGUGUUGUAUGGAGGUCACGUCGUGUCCUCUGGUGUCCCAACCCCACAUCUCUCUGUCGAAAAUGUUCAGGGCAUCGCUACUAGGUUUAUGCAAAUCCAGCCAGUGGAGGUUUUAGCUGAUGUCCUAGCAGUUUCUGAUGAUGAAUAGAUCUCUAGUUAUUUAUGGUGGUGGUAGCUAGUUAUGUCUGCAGCCUGCGAGAUGCCAGCUUUUGUUUUAUUACUUUUUAAGUUGUUUCGAACUCAUCAGUGCACAAUCUAUCUAGAUAUCAUCUACGAUGCUAGUGAUAAGGGUUGGUUUUUACCUUGAUGCCUACUUCCUGGUUUUCUUACUGGUCCGUUGGAUGAAAUUGGUUUGGCCUAGAGUCAGAUCUUAUAUAUACCACUGUUUUUUUAUGUUCUAAUGAAUAACAAUCAUGCAAUCAACAUCUUAGUGUGGAAUGUUCGUGGCAUUAAUUCACAGGGCAAAUGGGAUGCUAUUCGAAAUAAAAUUGCUGAAAGUGUUGCAUCAGUUAUUUGCCUCCAGGAAACAAAUAGGAGAGAUUUCGAUUAGUUCUAUCUAAGUAAAUGUUGCCCAAGACUACUAAAUUGCUUUGCUUGCUCUGCUUCUGAUGGGGCCUCUGGUGGUCUUCUUACUGCUUGGAAUGGUACUUUUUUCAAUGGGGAUAUUAUCAUGGCUAAUGCUUUCUCAUUAAUAGUCAAGCUUACCUCACAUCUCACUAGGAAGGCAUUUCACUUGACCAACAUUUAUGGCCCCUCUUCGCAACCUAAAAAAACUGCUUUUAUAUCAUGGCUUUAUAGUUUCAACACUGAUAAUAUUGAGGAUUGGCUUCUUGCUGGGGACUUUUAUCUUAUUUGUGCUCCUACUGAUAGGAACAAACAAAGGUAAUAUUAAUGAUAUGCUUCAGUUUAAUGAAUUGUUCCAACAUUUGGACUUGGUAGAGAUUCCUUUUCAGGGUAGAUCUUUCUCCUAAAGCAAUAUGCAAGUUGAUCCAUUGCUAGAGAAAUUGGACUGGGUUUUCACUUCAGCAAGUUGGGCUCUCACCAAUCCUGAUACUAAGGUUACACCUCUGUCCAGGCCUACUUCUGAUCACAUUCCAUAUGUUGUUUCAGUCAGUACUAGCAUACCCAAGUCCAGUCUGUUCAGGUUUGGAAAUUACUGGGUGGAGUUUCAAGACUUCCUACCUACUGUUGAACUCCAUUGGAACUCGGCACCUUAUUUUGCUAAAGCUCCAAGAACUUUGCCAGCUAAAUUUAAGCAAGUGAGAGCUGGCCUUAAAAAAUGGAGUAGAGAACUGUCAAAGGUUAGUAAACUCAUCAAUAACAGCAACUGGGUCCUUUCUCUCCUGGAUGGAUUUGAAGAUCAGAGGCCUCUUGAUACAGUAGAAAGAAAUUGCAGGAGAAUAAUAAAAGCCCACUUAAUUAACCUUAUGGAAGCCAAAAUGACCUAUUGGAAGCAAAGGAACACUGCUAGAUGGGUGAAAUUUGGUGAUGAAAAUACUAGUUUAGUUCAAGCCAUGGCUACUUAUUCUUUUAGAAGGAAUUUUAUUUCUCAGAUAUGCCUGCAGGAUGGAGUAAUUCUUACAGAGCAGGAACAGAUAGCUGGUGCACUUUGGAUUUCAUAUAAAGAAAGAUUGGGGAUUUCUGAAUUUGUGGGCAUUUCCUAUGACUUGGCAUCCAUUAUCCAACAGGUGGUUCCGCCUGAUCUUGAUGCUUCUUUUUCCUUGGAAGAGAUAGAUGCAGUCAUAAAAGAUAUGCCUGCCAGUCAUGCUCCAAGCCCAGAUGGCUUCAAUGGUCUCUUCAUUAAAAAGUGUUGGCCAAUCCUAAAAUAGGAUUUCAUCAGGUUAUGCACAGAUUUUGCAAAGGGUAAUCUCGAUCUGUCUAGCAUUAAUGGCUCCCUGAUAACCUUGAUCCUAAAGAAGGAUAAUCCUGAGACAGUCAAUGACUACAUGCUUAUUUCACUCCUAAAUUACUCUAUCAAGCUUCUCACAAAACUCAUUACCAACAGGCUCCAAGCAGUAAUCCUACAGGUGGUACACACAAAUUACUAUGGGUUCAUCAAGGGUAGAACCAUACAGGAUUGUUUGGCUUGGGCCUUCCAAUUCCUGCACAUUUGUCACUAGUCUAAAAGAGAGAUUAUCAUUCUGAAGCUUGAUUCUGAGAAGGCAUUUCAUAAAGUUGAACACCAAGUGGUCCUAGAUUUGCUACACCACAAAGGUUUCUCUGACAAAUGGAUCAGCUGGAUCAAAAGUAUUUUGGAUUCACGGACCUCUUCUAUUCUAUUGAAUGGAGUUCCGGGAAAAAAAAUUUGCUUGUAAAAAAGGAGUUAGGCAAUGUGAUCCUUUGUCUCCUCUACUCUUUGUGUUGGCUGCUGACUUGCUGCAAACCAUCAUAAAUGAGGCCUGCCGUAGAGAAGCUAUUGGGUAUCCACUGGGGCCUGAUUUCGGGGGAGACUAUCCAAUGUUCAAUAUGCAGAUGACACAAUGCUAAUAAUGCCUGCUAAUGCUCGUGACCUAUUUUGUUUGAAGGGCAUGUUGAUGUCUUUUGCGAAUUCUACAGGUCUAAAGGUGAACUUUAGUAAAUCCUUCCUAGUGCUAAUCAAUGUGUUGAUUGAAAAAUGCAAGCAACUAGCUAGUACAUUAGGGUGUCAAAUAAGCACCAUGCCUUUCACUUACCUAGGCCUUCCUCUUGGUACCAUGAGGCCUGCGGGUGAGGAAUUGAUGCCAGUGUUGACAAGGAUUAAGAAAAGGUUGUCAGGGAUCAAUAAAUUCUUAUCAUAUUCAGGGAGGUUAAUUCCGGUGAAUUCGAUCUGCGCAGCUAUAUCUACUUUUUAUUUAUGCUCCUUCAAAGUUCCGGUCCAAAUUCUUGAACAAAUAGAAAAGUAUUGCAAGCACUGCUUAUGGAAUGGAGGGGACAUGUCUAAAAGGGGAGGAUGUCUUGUAGCUUGGAUGACGUCAUGUGGACCCAAGGAUCAAGGAGGUUUGGGCAUCAUCGACGUCAGAGCUCACAAUACAACCCUGUUACUGAAGUAUUUGCAUAAAUUCUAUAACAAGGCUGACCUCCCACGGGUCCAGUUAACAUGGACUCGCUUCUACCAAAGAGAAAACCAUCCCCAUACUAGAUCUCAGGUGAACUCCUUUUGGUGGAGAGAUAUCAUGAGUUUAACUAAUAAUUUCAGAUUGCUAGCUACUUCAACACUGCAUAAGGGUGACACAAUUAUUUUCUGGAAGGACCAAUGGGAUCUUGGAGUACUUAGUCUUAUAUUUCCGCAGUUGCUCUCUUAUGCUAAGAGGAAAAACUGCUCGGUUAAGACUUUUAUAUCAAGUGAAGCAGGAAACAACUUCCACCUACCCCUCUCUGCCACAGCUUCUGCUCAACUUUCAAAAGUAAUGAACUUAUUGAAUGAUUUCAAUAUCCAAGGAGAUAUGAAUGAUGAUUCGACUUUCAUCUGGGGUUCCAAUAUUUUUUCUUCCAAGAGGGCGUAUCUACAGAUCAUUGGCACACAGCCAUGUUCACCGCUUUUCAAAUGGAUGUGGAAAUCAUCUUGCAAAGGCAAGCUGUGGCGGAACCACCUCGGAUUAGCUUGAUUAAGCAGGGUUAAGCCGCCUAACAUGCGACACCACUGUCUAAACCGAGUUAACACGAAGUGCCGUCGGAUUUCGUCCGAAUUAACCACUUAAACAGGAUCGAGUUCAGCAAACCCACGCGAAGGUGAGCGGUUACAGAGAAUACAACAAGUCCACUGAGUUAACCGGUCUUACUCAAUUAGUUCGACCAUAAAAAUUAACAUCAGAGUUUUAUAACAAAAGAGCAACAGAGAAAACACUAGCGGAAGACUUCGUCGGGGUCGGACGUCCGGGCGAGGCCAGCCAGAACAUCACUGAAUCCUCUCCUCGCCGUCCGAGGAAGGGUCCCACUCGACCGUCCAGCCUGGCGAAAGCUGGGGCGGCCAAGCACCAACAAGGGAGGGGUCGGGAACUGCAACUUCACCUGAAAGACAGGAGCCACAACAAGGCUGAGCUACUAAGCUCAACAAGACUUAACCGGGGAGGAGCCAACUACUCUUCCAACUAGAUAUGCAAGGCUUCUUGGCUGAGGGGUUUGUUUUGCCAAAGCGCUAAGUAACCUAUUUUCAAGUUUUAGCUCCGGUUCUAGAUUUACUUACCAGUCUAGGUUGUGCAACCUAUUCUAAGCAAACAUCGAGCCAAACAAGUGUGUUAAAAGAAACAACAACAUUGCCAUCAUCAGAUUCCUCAUUUACUCAGGGUGACAUAGCGAUCAAGUAAUCUCAAACUGUGAGAGGCAGACGAAUCGAUUCGAGUUCUUUAACCAUGCAUGGUGAACCUAGCCCCACGACAUCCGCGCACCCGGAGGUCGCUUCCUGUGUCGGCCUUCCCCAUCGAUCCCCUAACCCGUGUCGGGCCCAUUUCCUUUGGUGCAAGGUUCCACAGACCCGGCCUCUGCCGUCCUGUGACCACGUUUUGCCACCACGUGUGACAACCAGCAGGGGAAACUCCGUUCCAAGAACAAUGGGGCGACCGCUCACGUCUAGGUUCAAUCAGGUACUAGGCUUCCUCAUCCCAUACUAAGUAUGAGGCUAGUACUUUCAAACACUUGAUCACGAACACCACCACUGUCGGGCCUUAGCAAGUUUUCAUAGACAGACGGGGCAACCAUCCGACCACCAAAGAGUUACCAACCCUGCCCCGUCCAUCGUCCUUAUAGUUGUAACAGGAGAGUAAACAUGCAACUCCUACAACUCGCGAGUGACAGGAGAUCACUCGGCUUUUACCGUCUCCUAUUUAAGCAAUGCAGCUAUUCGGUCCAACAGCUAGUGCUCAUAUCAAGGGUUACUAAGUCAUGCAUCUAGGGUUUCACACAACUCCUAAACGUAAAUGCACAACAUGCUAUUCGGAAGGCAUGUGCAAGUUUGGCAAAACACGUAGGAUUUUCAUGCAACCGGGGCUUGCCUGCAAACAAGGAAGGCUGGAACUGCUCGACUUCGGGGGCGGCUUCGACUUCUGCGGGCAGGAUCUCGGCUACAGCUUCUUCUUCGGGCGUCGGGUGCAGCUCGUAGAAGCCGUCAGCGAGAUGCAGCUCUACACGAAUGCAAUGCAAGGGUUAGCUUAAACGUUUUGAUUUGACAGCAACACUGGCUCUCCUGAGCCUAGAAACUUGCGACAAAGAGCAGGAGGUGGAGACUGUUUGAGAGAGCUGAUGAUGAUCAACAGGUAAGGAUAGGAAGGAGACUAGUGGUCUGAUCCUCGAACUAGAGGAUGUGAUAACUGGGAUCCUCAGACGUAGGCGCUGAAGGGUUCCCACGUUUUACACUUACACCCUCAAGUUGAAGAAAAAGAUCACAGCCAAGCCCUCGAGCGAGGCGGACAAGGGUCGGCGAAUAAACAGGGUCGGACGAGACGGAACUGGGGUCGAGCGGAUAGGAGGGGUCGGGCGAAGCGGACUUAGGGUCGGCACUCACCUUCUUCCUGAAAGGAAAGCUUGGGGUCGGGAAGAGGCAGACUUGGGCGCGGAACUAAAGCUUUGAACAGGGACUAAGGCCGGCGAUGCUCCGGCGGCGGUGCUUCUUGCGGAUCACAAGAGAGCUCUUACACAGCACAAGGGAGCAAGCUGCGGGGUGACUUGGAUGAACUGAGAAGGAACUGGGAGAAGAACUUCUCAAGACUGGGCGGAUGGCGCUAGGAGCUUGAGCAGGGAGCUAGAGGAAACUAAGGGCAACAAAGGCGGAGGGAACUCCGGCGACGGGGGCAUUCCUUUUAUAGCUGCUGGGGCAGAGGAACGAAAACGUCGCGGAGAGAGAGAAGGGAAGCGGCACGAAGGCCGGGGAGAAGCAAUGGAGUGCUCUGCCGUGGCGGCGAUUGAGCAAACCGGGCGGUGCUACAGAACUCCGGGGGUGACGCCAGCGAUCAUUGCGCUACUCCGUCAGGGCGGUGUAGGCGCGGGUAGACCGGUGGUUGAGAUUUGGCGGAAAGCGGGCGUCGCCGUGCGGAAGAGGUGAUAGAAGCGACCGGUUAAACGGCGCUAGGAUCGAGGGCGCACAGGUGGGAGAACAAGCGGAUGCGGCGCGGGGGAGAGCGCGGAACAACAGAUUGUCGGGCGGCGUCUGACAGAGCGGGGAAAAGAACUGUCGCGGCCGCGGUCGGGGUUGGCGGUGGGGGAAUCGUCGUGUAGCGACGACCGGGUGGCGCAACUGUUGCUGGAAAGGACGGAAAAGACGGGCGACAUCGGUCUCCGGGGCUGAGAUCUGGUAUCGUGAUGAUGGGCGCGGGGAGCGAGGAUCUGCAGAAAGGGGUGCAGAGGGCUUCCGCUGCUAUUGGGGAAAAGGGCGCGGGAACCCACUCGGUCGCUUGCCAGAGACAAAACUGAGCAGUGGUGUCGGAGAAGGCGAGCCACGCGGCAGGAAAACUCUGAGGCGGCCAUGCAACUCGAGUGCGGCUGCUGCGGGGGAUCUGGAGAAAGGUCUCGCGGGUCCACCGGGGAAAAGAUCGGACGGGUGAGGAAGAUUAGCAGGAUCCGACGGAGGGCUGAACUCGCCAGGGUCGGAAAAAGGAACGAAGCGGUAGGGGUCGGAUCUCAGGGGUCGGAACUGGCGGAAGACUGAGCACUUAAGUGCGGUCAACAGAGCAACUGACUGAGGUUAAGGGCUGAGAUCAAACCUAACUGGGAAAGGUUAGGGGUCGGUCGUUAGACAAGCAUAAAUUCUUUUUCUGGCUACUGUUGAGGGGCAAGUUGAAUACUAGAAAUAUGCUCAGAAGAAAGAACAUGCAUCUUGAUGAUUAUAAUUGUGUUCUUUGCACCUCCACCAUGGAAGAGGAUACUAUGCACCUUUUCUUCUAUUAUUCGUUCGGUCAAAGCUGCUAGGCAUGGUUGGGAAUAAUUUGGGACUUGGAUCUGUCAUCUUUGGACAUGAUCAUUACAGCCAGGAAUAUUUUUGGAAAUCCUAUCUUCAGGGAAAUGAUUAUGGUUGGUUAAUGGUGCAUUUGGUGCCACCGAAAUUCAAUAAUUUUUGAUAAUAGGGUCCUAUCAAUAUCUGUUUGGAAAGUGUUCUUUAUUAAGGAGAUGUCUUUGCUUUUGCUUAAAGCAAAGCCAUAGGUUAAUAUGUUGUUGUCUAACUAGCUGAGUAAUCUCUAAAUUGUAUUUUUUUCCCUUUUUGCUUUGAGUAUGAGGCUCGUGUAAUCCAUUUGUACAUAUCCUUUUUAUAUAAAAAAAAUAGGUAGAGGCCUCCCUACGGAUUAGAGUAAAAAAAAAUAACAAAGAACUGCCUAGAGCAACUCCAAGAGUUCCCCAAAAAAUUCUUUCCCAAAAUGAGGUAUUAGGGGCUAUGCUAAAAACAGUUUCCCCCAAAAACAUAUCAGUCCACAGCAGAUCGCUAAAAACUACUCCCCAAUAAUUUAAAACAGGCCACGUCAUCGAAUUGGACCCAUUAAGAUCAGUUGAUUUUUUUCUCCAGUACCGUGUCCAGCGCCCCAUCAAAAUACUCCUCUGGUACCCUAUCACUCCGGUGCCCGUGCGCACGGAGGUCUCACGCCGCCGCCCCUGCGAACUGACGACGGACGACUGACGCCGGCCGCCACCCCCCUGCGAACGGACGACGGACGACUGACGCGUGCCCCUGCGCGCGUUCCGCAGGCAGGCGUGCGUCCUGGAUCCUCUGAGUGAACCAUGGAUAAGAGUAAUGAUUACCGUCAUUUUCACUGCACCUGAAGGUCUCGCUGCUAGAAAGGCCAUUCAUUUGGGACAGGAUGGCGCCAGGCAAUGUACAUUCCCAAAUCUAGCAGGAACUUAUGGGUUUUCAAAACACAGUUAUAUUUACAUUUAACUUCAGCUACCAAAAGACAUGAUAUGGAGCAUACACAGCACAUGGCUUCAACUACCAGGUCUAUGAUGUGCCUUGCAGUUCAUACUUCUCUUCUCUAGUAAGACUUCUGCACAAUAUAUGACAUACUAGGGGUAACCAUCCCAAGCAUGGAUCUGAUGCAAGAAAACAAUUUCAGAGGCUGCUCAAUUUCAUCCUUGCAAACAAUCCAGAGAGGGCCAAGAAACAUAGCACAAUUCGGGAUAAUAUCGCAGCAACCACCGGAUGGUAUUGAAUCCAACGUCUAAAACACCUAACCACCAGAUAAUCGUUAGGCUUUAGCAGAUAAGUAGACUUGAAGCAAACCAUCUUGUUCUUGCGCCGAAUCAGAAGCAGGGCUCCCUCUUCGGCAGCUUCAGCACUGCGGCAAAGGACGAGCCACCUGAGCAGUGCUCCCUGUCACUGUCCCUUGGUCUGGAGGAACACCAGGCGCUACCGCAGGGGAACACCACGCGCCGCUGCAGGGGAACACCAGGCACCGCUGCAGGGGAACACCAGGCGCCGCUGCAGGAGAAUACCUGACGCUACCGCGGGGGAAGACCUGCCGUUGGGUCGGGGAAGACCUGCCGCCGCCGCAACUCGGGGAAGACCGGGCGCCGUUGCCGCCGCCGCCGCUCGGGAAGGGCCUGCCUCGCUCGGGGAACGCCGCCACCGCCACCGCUCGGGAAGUCCAGUGCCGCCGCAUGGGAAAAAAUGGCGCGCGGGGAGAAAAAAAGGGCGCACGCGCGGAACGGAUUGGGAAAGGAGUGCACCGCGCAUAUUUACGGGGAAAAAAGCAGCGAAUGCAGGUACACGCAAAUUUGCGGGAGGUUUAGGGGAACUGUUGGAGCAACUUUUUUUCCAAUUUUCCCUAUUUAAGAUUUUAGGGGUAAUUUAAGGGAGCUCUUGGAGUUACUCUAAAUUUCAGGCCUAAAACCAUCAGGGCCGGGUUCAGCCCAAAACCAGGCCCGGCUCAGCCCGGAUCGCCCCGGCCCGGUGCUAGACGCCUAGACCUCAAAGCAUGACUCACACACCAAUCCAUCGUCCUAUUCUUCGCCAGCGCCGCCGAACCCGCCACCAGCCUCCUCCCACCACCGAAGCUGCUGCCUCCCCGAAGGAGCUCUCCCCUCGCAGCCAUCGCCACCGCGGCCGCCCUCGUCCCUCCCUUCCUCCGCUGCUAUCGGAUUGGCAGUGGAGUGGAGAUCGACUCGGUCUUGGAAUUCCCUUCGUUGGUAAGGAACCCUAAUUUUGUCGGAUGGGAUUUUCACCUUCGACAUCGGGGGCGAGAUCGAUCGACCUCAGCUGACGCGAAGGGAUUGGGAAGCCAAGGGUUGGGUGUAGUUGAUUUUUCUAGGAAGAUUGGGGGUUCAGCUCAAACUCCCAUGCUCGACGCUGAGCACGACCCCGGCGGGAGAUGACGAGGAUCUUCGUGCAGCGCGGGGCCGCCGGCUCCUCGUCCAGCUCCAGCCGCUCGGGAUCGCAGCCAGCGCAGCCGCAGCCGCCAGCAGCUGCCCGGGAGGAGGAGCUGCCGCUGCGGCCUCAGCCGCAACUGCCGGAGCUAUUGGCCACUGAUGAUAUAACCGAGCAUCUAAAUGAGGGCAGCGAGAACAGUAGCAGCAGCAAUAAGCCUUCAAGGCUGGAUGACCCCAUUUCAGAGAGCUCGAGCUCGGCGGAGGAGAGGGCUGCAAGAGAGAAACCUCCUAAGGAUGACUCUAAUCUAAUCAACCCCACUUUCUUGGUGGAGGAACUGAAAGGACUCCAGAUUUCUGAUCAGAUUGAACAUGGGAAUUCUGUGCCGUCUAGCACUGGUUCGUCACAGAUGGCGGGUGCAGCAUCGCACCCACCACCACCACCAGCUCCACCUCCAAAACCAUCUCCAGGGAAUAUUGGGUUGCGGAGAAUGGGGUCUGGAAGUUCAAACAGUGUGCGGAUUGGAUCUUCAAGAAGGCCAGUAGCUUGGCCACCGGUGGCAGCCCGGACAUCUGCUUCAGGUUCUCGGCCUUCUUCGCCUAGGUCACUGGUUGAUGGUGAAGGUUAUAAUAGUGCAGAUGAACAGGGUCCCUGUUAUGGCUCGAGUUAUGAUGAUUCGGUAUGGUUUCCAGAUGUCUUGUUCUGUUUUAUAUACGAGCUUUCAUUUCUCCUAUAAGGCAAUAACAUUUAUAGCAGUCUUAUAUAUUACAUCAGCAUUUAUUGUGAAAUGUGAAGAUAGUCCUAGUGAUGUUUAAUAUCCGUAUAUUUAAAUAAUACGCUCUUUGGUGGCUCAUCUGUUACUUUUAGGUGUUUGAUUAUUAGAUGAAUCUGUAUAUCAUGUGUUUUCCUCCAAGGUGUCAAUAACAAAAGCAUUCUUCUCAGUAGAGCUAUUCAUCCUGAUAAUAUAAGUGGACACUAAUCUUUUUAGUCAAGAAAAACCUUGUGGUUUUUUUACUUAUGUAGUAACAGAUUUUGUCAUGUAGAUGAGCAGAUAAUUUUUAUAUGGUUAUGUUUUUUGACUACUUCUCAUCUAAUUCAUUUGUGCCUCAGGAAAGGGACCUCAUGUUUGAGCAUGACCUAAGGCGAGUGAAAGGAUUGGAAAUCAGAAAGAUGGCAGAAGAUGGUAACUGUCUGUUCAGAGCAGUUGCUGAUCAAGUUUAUGGAGAUGCAGAAGCUUAUGAUAUGGCUAGGCAGAUGUGUGUUGAUUACAUGGUAGGUUGCAUCAUUGCAUCUGAUCAUGAAUGGAAAUUUUUGUAGUUUAUGUCUUUGCAAGGGCAAUCUUGUGUUGUCAAUGAGCAGCAUCGUUAUAAUCGAUGAACUCAAUCAUUUAGUUCUGUAUUGUCUUGCUAUAACAAGUCUGGUUUCUACGUCACACCAAUUUAUGAACGCCAAGUCCUUGGAUUGGUUAGUUUUGACGUAGUUUUUGACAGAACUGUUAUGAGCUAAAUAGUGCACUGACAAAUUGAGGCAACCCAGUUCACAAUUAUACUGUUAUGGAGAUGGUUGCCACCUGUUCCAUGAUUCCAGCUGCUAGCAAUUGAUGUCUUCUGCAUGGUUACUUACCAGUAAAUAACCAGCUUUUAACUAGGUUGGAUACUUGCCGAGGUAUCUUCCAAUAGCUUGACCCAUAAGUGGUCAAAAACUUGUUUCGUGCCGUUACAGAAUUGGUUGUAGCUGUAUCCAACAAAAGUUUCAGCUACUUUCAAUUGCCUUUUGGCAUAUUAUGAAUAGCAUCGGUUACUGUAUCUUGUGUAAAGGCAAUGCAAAACGCUGCCAAAUUCUAUGUGUAUGUUCUGUUUUGGUAGACAGAAAGUCCCUUGUCAAGGUACGACCUAUCCAUGAAGCAAAAUUUCUUGCCAAUGAGAUUUAACAGGAAUAUUUUCUGAAUCUAGUUUCUUGUGUUAUUUGCCCACUUGCAUUCUUUGAUAAUUUGGAAUUUUGCGCAAGGAUUAAGCUAUUCUCUAUCUUUCUAUGAGACCAAUCAUUUUGUAAAUAUGGGUGUGCUAGAAUAAAGGAAGAAGUGUAUUUUUUUAAUUAAAAAAUAUAGUAUUUGGGAGCAUAAUGUGCAAUUGAAUUAUGGGGUAAACUACUGAUUGCUCUGUAGUUUUGGAACAGGGUAAAACAUGCAUUGCCACGAUUUCUUGUUAUCCGUUACUCUGAUAGCCAUGCAGUUGAAAAGUUCAUUGUCGUUUUGUAAUUCUUUUUCAGGAAAGGGAACGGGAUCAUUUCUCUGAGUUCAUAACUGAAAGUUUUACAUUAUACUGUAAGAGGAAAAGGAGAGAUAAGGUAAGCUAUCAUAUAUUGCAAACUAUUAAUUUCCCACCUUUUUGUUAGUCCUAUUUUUCCAAUGAGGUGUGCAUGUGUCCAGUUCUGUAAUAUAACCUUGUAACCUUCAAUUGUUUGGUCAGCUUCUGUCGUACAUAACUUUUUUUUUUCUUUUGCUUUCUUGUGCCCCUGCCAAGCAUUUCCACCUAUUUGAACCUCCAUUUGUGUCUACUAUUUUUACAUGCUUCCACGCAGCAAAACUUGAAUUUUUUCCUAACUUUUGAAAGCAUCUGCCUUUCUAAUAUAAACUAUGGGCAAGAACACCAAUCUCUAUAAACUAGCAGAAUAGGAACUUCUAAAAGUAGAAAUUUGGCAUUGUUGCCUCAUUUAAAAGCUCUUUGCUGAUUGGUUAUUUGAUUCAUUAAGGUAUAUGGCAACAAUGUUGAGAUCCAGGCAUUUGCAGAGAUGUACAAUCGUCCCAUUCACAUAUAUUCAUACAGUACAGGUAAACUGUGCUUAGCAUUUGAUGUUUUUACCCUUGUUGCUUUUUUGUCCUUGUUAUUUUUUUCCUAUAAUAGCUAAUGUCAACUUAACAUGGUUUGCUGUUACUGCAGAGCCCAUUAACAUUUUUCAAGGAAGUUAUAACACAGAUGUUCCUCCGAUUAGGUUAAGUUAUCAUCAUGGUAAUCAUUACAAUUCAGUGGUUGAUCCCCGUCGACAGACAGUUGGGGCAGGCCUUGGAUUUAGCUCCCUUAGAGGGGUAAAUCUUUUUUGCUUCUCUGAACCUUUUCUUGUCUUGCUUGUAGUAGACAGUUAUUAGUACAAUUGAUGGUUAUGUUCUCUUUCAAAUUGAUUUACUUCCCUUUUUGUGUAGACCAAUAAUGUUGACAGGGACCAGGUGAAGGCUGCAAUAAAAGCUCAGCAAGAUCAGCAAAUCGAGAAUGUAAGCACUGCAAGUUAUUUAUGUGUGCUGUUGCCAUCCCAGUAUCCUCAUAAACCGAAUAAGCCUAUCUGAAGCUAUCUGAGAAUAAGAUGGCAUGUCCUUAACUCUUGUUUUGGCAAUGUCAGGCACUUUUGGCUGAAGGGAGAUUCUACUCUGAUUUGGAGUUGACAGAAAGGGAAAUAGAACGGAUGGUGAUGGAGGCCUCAAGGGCAGAGUAUCUGGCAGAGGAGAAAAAGCUUAACAUCAGGGAGUCAUCAACAUCAGGGGCAGAGCCAUCAUCUUCUGCCGCAAGUAAGCCUAUCUGAAGAAUACAAAGUGUUUGUUCCGGUCGAUUUUAUGAAACUGACAAUUCUUUCCUGCUCUGCAGUUAGCGGGUCUUCUCGUUCCGCUGCGGCAGUAGACAGAGGGAGUGAGGAGUGCUUCGUGCUCCCAGACACCGUGCUGACUCGCAGCAUGCAGCUGCUCCUGGCGAUGGGGUUCAGCUACAUCCAGGUCAUGGAAGCCUACAGCAUAUUUGGCGAGGACGUGGACUCGAUGAUCUGCUACCUGGUGGAGACCGGAGGCCCUGGAGCCUCAGAAGGCGGUAGCAACCGCCGGAAAGGAAAGGCUGCUGAGUGAUGUGCGGCACCUUGCCACCUUCCUUGCUCUGAAUGUAAUGGAUCCGAAUCGUUGGGCAUAAGUCAUACCAGAUAAUGACAGCCGUGGGAGUUGAGAUGUCGAUAUACCUGCUACCUUAUGGGUGAUAAAUAAAUGGAACUCGCGUGUUGCGACUUCUCGAUGUGAUCUGGUGUUUGGAAUGAAUGGUUGGUGGUGCUUGUUCUGGUGCCCCCCUUUGUGAUCCUUGUGGGAACUGAGGAGGCAAUCUCCAGGGAGACUUGACUCUACUGUCCUGAUGCACUUUGGGUGAUAUCCGAGAAAUUGUGUUUAAUUGUUUAUGCUUUGCGUGCAAAACAGAUAGUACUAAUCUGAGAAUCGCCCUAUCAAAAAAUGGGAAUUUUGAUCAACAUUUGGGCGUCUUUGGAUUUGGUGCCACUAUUUUGGUAAGACAUCUCUUACAAUAGCUGGCUAAAUCCAUUCUCUGAUGUCAGAGUUGGUCAAUUUUUCUGCGACCAUGCUCAUUUCGACUUGCUAAACUCUUUGGUUUAAUGCCAGAGUGUGUAUUUUUUACGGAAUGCAUUUAUUUUCUGGGACUGCCAUUUUUACCUGCGAAGCCCAACAAAGCAAGCAUAUCUAGGCCCAUCUGCAAUUUCCCAGCGCACUUUCCUAUUACCUUUUUGCAGAGAGGCAGCGUCAACGGGGCCGGACUGCCGGAGCCCAAUGAAUGCAGCACGUGGGUACGCACGCCACGUACGCCGGUCUCCGCGCACGUACGCCCUCCCUCGCCUCCGUCUCGCACGCCGCGACCGCGGACGACCCAGCAGAACCGAAACGACUUGGCCUCCCGCUUGUCUCGCACGGUCGCACCAAUUUCCCUCGCUCCAAGCAAAGGCGCAGCCAUGGCCAUGGCGGCGCUGCGCGGGGCCUCGCGCUGCCUGGCAUCCGGGGGGAGCCCGGCGGCCGUCCGCCCCAUGCUCCUGGCGCACUCGCGCGGAAUCACCUACAAGCUCUUCAUUGGAGGUUGGUUGCCUAGCUCAAUUGCCCGUCUCCAUCCCUCCUCCUCACCCGCGCGUCCCUUUUGCAUCUUGCUCAGUCGAGACCCGACGCUCUGUCCCCUCUCUUGCAUUUUGCUGGCUGAGGGAAGCACGUCUUCUGCGUGGCUCAUGCGUCGCCAGGGCGCGCAUGCCUAGUGUUCGACGGAAUGUCCAUACAGUCAGGGCGCGUUGGUACAGUAUUUUGAUGCAGCCAUAUAGCUACACCGACUUUAGUACUUGCUCUGCUUGUCUGAGAGGCGCAGUUUAACUGAAUGCGGUCUCUGAAACUAAUAUAGUUGCAAACACCGAAAUCAUUAGCAUAGGAAACCAGUGUCAAAUUAUGAAAUUUAAUCGUACAAUUCCAUACCACACAGUACACAAAAUCAGAAUCAUGCAGUUUGAAUAUUGAAAUGCGUGGCAUCACAUCCAUUGAGUUUCUGCUGCUAGGCUGCAGAUUAGUGCAUCUGAAUUCUAAGUAGGUGUCAGUUGUUGCUUUGUUUUUUCACCAUAUAUUUUUUUGAAACGAACUGGCAGGAGAGCUGCCAAUUGUAUUAAAAAGAAGGAGGAGACCCCAGAUGGGAGAAAAAAUACGUACAAGAGGAACUCAUCCUCAAUCUCCAGCACUCUAUUGCUAUCUGUACACAUAACGGAAAAAAAGUAAAGGAACUAAGCUAUGCUAAGCAGAAUGGCAAGAUGCUUUGCUCCAGCCAUCAUCCAUUGCGAAGAUUCCUCCUGAACUCUUGCUAGCACUCGCUGCUCGUCAACUCGUUAUGAUCGAAAAUUCGGGCAUUGCGCUCUUUCCAAAUUACCCAGGUGGUUAGCAUUAUUAGUGAGCGUAGUCCUUUCCUCGAGGUGCAUGCAGAUGCUGCUAAAAUUGUCCACCAGUAAUACAGUGAGUCCGCCUGGGGCCACUCCCUUGGAUGAAUUGCUUGAUUCCCUGUCCAGACCGAGAUGUUCUCCCAUAUCCUUAUGGUAAAUCUACAUUCGGUGAAAAGGUGAAUUGCUGUUUCCAUUGGCAGCGACAAAGCAGGCAGAGGUCUGAUUUGGCCAUUAAUCUCUAGUCAUGUGUUUUCAAGGAGACAAAUGUUCCAGGCCUCCAUGCCUCAAUACUCUCUUUUCCCCCCUCAAACAAGCAGGAGAGCUGCGUAUCAAUAUAUUAAGAAGAAGAUCAUACCUUGAUAGUUGAUACUGUAAGAGUACACAUUCAACACUUCGAAAGUUCUAGAUGCAAUAGGAUUUGCCUUAUCCAGUUCAACCAAAUCGUAGUGGAUUCCUACCGACAGUUCAGGUAAUGGCUGUGGCUGUUAAUAAGGAAAACAAAACUUAUAUCUUAGAAAUUCCAGCGAGGGUUUGUAUUUUGCUAAUCUAUGCUUGCUUUACUCUGAAUUAUGCCAAGUUAUGAGGUGCACAUAUUCACAUUGAUGCCAGUUGCUAUUCAUGUUGUUCUUGCAAGAAACACAUCGUUGCAGAAUGUUGUUCAAAAUGUGAGAUCUACUGAGACCACCUGAGCUUCAUCUAAGCUUAAUUUCUAAGUGGGAAUUAUACAUAAUUGAGAAUCUCAGGGACCACUGAGAAAUUGUUGCUCUGUGCUCUUUAUGAGAAUUUUGUGCGUUGCUAUUUAUAACCUCGUCUGAGUCCUCUGUCCUUUUGCAGGCUUGUCACAGUUUGCAACAGAAGACACCCUAGCAGAAGCAUUCUCUCGUUACGGCCAAGUAAUAGAAGGUCUAUUCUCAUCACUUACCAGAACACACAUCUGUUCAUACUUGAUAGUCAUUCUGCCUGCUGUUGUUAGUUGUUGUUAUCCAAGCUGGGGCUUCUUGUUUGAAUGCAGCUACCAUCGUCACGGAUAAGAUGACCGACAAACCAAAAGGGUUCGGCUUUGUGAAAUUUGCUUCCCAGGAAGAAGCUAAUACCGCAAGGGAAGAGAUGAACGGCAAGGCAGGAUUUUGAUGGAUUAGUUUACGCUCUUUGCAACAUGAAUUGCAGAUAUGUUUGUGUCCUUUUGGAGAGAAUCUAAUAUAUGCAAGCCUGUGACAGGUAUUGAACGGCCGUGUGAUCUACGUCGACAUUGCAAAGCCCAAACUGGAACGUGAUGCAGAUGCCCGCCCAAUAGCGAGAGGCCCUCCUAAGCCAUUUGGCAACGACUGAUAAAGGAUGGCCUGGUGUGUAGACUCCAUAAUUCUCUUCUGCCCUCUCUGCUAUACUAGUUCACCAGUUCGCCACUCAGAUUCGGGAGCUCUUAGAUAAAGGUGAUGUGUGAUAAUGUGGCGAAUUUUGAGGCUUUGCAAGAACAUAAACACAGUCCGUUUAAAUAUCAUGUGUACUUGUGUUUCGGAUGCUGUGUUUUCUUGUCAUAAACACGUGUUGCUAACUUGCUAUAACGCUAGGCACACGAAACAUCUGGAUGAUGUUACGGGUUGCAGAUGGUAGUAGCACGUGCUCUUGAAUCUGUUCAAGAACAUGAUGUUUAGAGCAUCUCCAAUCUUCCAACAAAUGUUUUCCAAUAAUUAGUUAAUGGGAAUAUCCUAAUAUCCAUUUCAUUGUUAGGGAGAAUUACUCUUGCAGUCUCCCAAUAAUCUCAUCACACUCCAACUAGGGAGUAUUUGGGGUGAAUUAUUGGAAUCAAUGUUCACCUGUACUUCUCUGACCUUCAUCUGAUUCCUGAAAAUUCUUCCAUUUCGGCGGACCUUGAUCCCUGAAGUUGGGAACACUACUUGAUUGUACGAAAACAUUGAAAAUUAAUGCACUCAACGGCAGAUCUUUUUUCUUGUAUAAUUGUAUUUUUGUCGCUUUCUUUGUUUAAGGAAAACGAUGCACACCAGUGCAGGACAUGAUGAUGUACAGUUGCUAACUGUUACAAGGAAGAAAAAAAGCGUUACAGAAAGAUGCUGUACGCUAAUGACAUGUCCAGUGCACCUGACGGUUGAUCGUAGUAGUACAACAUUUUAUUGCUCAAACUCGUUCGCCGGCGUAAAAAAGGGAACCGGACUUGCACUUGUCCGUCCGUCCGUCCGCCCGGCAGGCGUCGAUCACCGGAGCGCGACGGCGGCGAGGCAGGUGAGCACGACGGCGGCGCUGGCGGCGGAGCAGCACAGGUCCACGAGCGCCUCGCGGCGCGCCUUGCUCUCCUUCCUCCCCUUCUUCCGCCUCACGAACUCGUGGUACCGCCUCUUGGCCUCCUCCGGCUCCCCAUCCCCUCCCCUCCUGGGCGCCUCCAUCGCGGCGGCGAGCAGCCGCAGCGCGCCCUCGCCGCCGACCGCGGCGCCGUCGGCGUCCUCGGCGGCGAGGCUGACCUCGGCGACGCGGCCCUCCUCGGCGCAGGCGACGGUGGCCUCGAACUUGCACCCGCCCAGCACGACCGCGAAGCGCACCAGCGUGUCGCCCGUGUACCAGUGCCGGCCCACCGACACCGGGCGCCGGCUGGAGACGUUCACCGCCCGGCCCCGGGACGGGUCCACCACCACCCAGCUCAGCUCCAGCUCCUCCGGCGACGGCGACGCGGCGGAAGCGGCAUCCGUCGCCGCCGGCCUCUUCCGCUCGACGGCCUCCACCCGGAACGGCGAGCCGAGGAACCACGGCGACGACGCGGGCGUCUCCACCACCCGGGAGAGAAGGGGCGCGCCCCUGUGGUACACGUCCACCGCGGAGACCAGCUCCCCGGGGAGCCCGAGCCCGUCGCUGACGCCGGGCGCGGCGUCCGGGGACGGGAACGGGAAGGCGUCCGCGAAGAGCCGCCGCGGCGGGAGCGCGGCGAGGAGGAGGCGGCGGCCGUGGCUGCUGCCCGGCAGCGCCAGCGACGGCCACUCGGCGAGGCAGAGCGCGCGCCACGUCUCCGUGUCCGCGGCGAGCGCCCGGAGCCCCGCCGUGGCGCAGCUGGCGGCGGCCAGCGAGCGCCCGUCCAGGCGGCGCAGCGCGCAGCCGAGCACGUCGGCGUGCAGGUCCUCUAUCGUGGUAGUCACCAUCCUGAUUCCUGUGCUUCCUGUGGCUCUUCUACUUGGAGUAAACUCCGUUGGCUUGUGAUGAUCUGAUCAGAUGAGACGACGCUUUAGCCGCACGCGGGUUUAUAUAUAACAGCACGCGCGAGGCACUGUAGCGGUAGACUCCGGUCAAAGGCUGAUCUGCCCGUCGCCUCAUUUACGGCUCCUGAUGCCUCUGUUCCCGCGGGGCGUCUCCCCGCGAAAACGACGGGGUCCAGCAUCGGCAGCGUCCGUCAUACUGUAUUUUACUCUGCUCCUCUCCCUGCGCGCAAUUGAUCCCGUGCCAGAGUGCUGCCGACCUGCCGUGGCGUCGACGGGAACCGGCCGCGGUGGGGGCGUCGCUGCUGCCGGGUGAGCGACGGUGCUGUCCGUCCCGCAGGACGGCGUGGCACGGCCGCGCGUUCCGCCCGCCGUCCCUCGCCCGGGGGUAGGGUACCGUUGCGGGCCGUGAGGGCGCGCCGCGUUGCCCGGUUGCCCCCGCUGUUUUCUCCGCGGCGCGCCGGUGCCGGAGCGUUCGGGUGGAGGACGCUAGCUGGUGUGGGGGUGGUAUCGGUGUACGCCCCUGCUGGAUUCGCCCCGCGUCUCCGGCGAAGGGAAAACGGGGUCGUUUUCGCGUCGCGUGUCGGGCAAAUUCGUGGCACGCCCACCGCGCGCGUAUGUCACGACGCUAUCGGGCUAGGUGGUGCCUAGGUCGCAGGAGCCGUGAACCAUAUAAUUGCGCUAGUAGGCCAUCGUUUUCGCGACCGGCGACGGCGACACGGUCCCCUGCACCGAUGACGAAGGGGGGAGGAGGAGUAGAGGCAACGCCGUGCAGCGUCUACUGCACCGGCCGGCCGUUUAGCAUGCGUGCGUACAGCAGGCUAAACACUAGCAUUGCGCGCUGGACGCGUGCCUUCAAGCUCCAGUGUGAGGUCCUGUUCGGCGAAUAUCUUCCUCUGUCGAAAAGUCUGAAUUGAUGUCGCUACAGUCUACGCGUGCUUCGUGUCAACGUGCAUGUCCUCCCGGCCACGUGACAGAGAAGCUUGCUUGGGAUGCUGGAGGGGCCCGGGCGUACUGUGUACGGUUCACGUACGAUCCGGAUCCAAUCUCGAUGGAGUUUAUGCAUAUCCUACUAGAUUGAAUCCUGUUGGCUUCCGCGCGCGAGAUCUGGAUGAACCGUGAUCUGCCGUUCCAAGUAGCCGUCAGGUUAGUGAGAUGGAGGACUCACCCUCAAUGAGUGUCCCCCGAAGCCAAACCAAAUGCUUUUUGAAACGCAAAGCAAAAGCAAAAUCGGGAGACGCAUUUUAACUGACCUUUUUACCCUCUCAUGAGUAAUCUUUACCCUCCUAGGAUAAAUGGGCUAGGUGGUGUGCAGAGCAUGGCAGCAACAGUCUCUGUCAGGAUUGCCCGGAGGAACUGAAGAUUAGUCAAACUUCCUAUUGGUUUCAGAUCUGUCGCCCAACAAAAGAAAGAACUAAAAUAAAGCAUCAGAUUAGCUCAGGAGUUGCAUAGAAAACACAUUAGUUAGUGUUUAUGGUGUCCGGUGCCCUGGCCGGCCAUCAUGGGUUCCCUAAUCUUGCAUCAGGCGGCCCUCUGGGGCCCAAAUGCUUCUAGAAUCAAUUAUUUUCAAGAAUAUAUGCAUGGUCCCAUCUCCCAUGCUACACGCAGGACUGCAGGAGGCUAGUACGAAGUACGUACGUGGCGUUGUUCCAUUCUUACACAUUUUUGCUUGUGCUAGUGCUCCCAGAAAUGAAUGGAUUUUUUGCAAUAUGAGAUUGAAUGCCAUAACUCUGAUUUGUAUUUUACUUUUUAUUGGUGCAGUUGGGAAAUCUGCACAGAUAGGAUUGCAUACUUGGUUACCCGAUGCAAUGGAGGGUCCCUCUCGAAUUUGUUCUACGGUAGAAGCUUUUUGCUGCAGUAUGCACGAACAGCAUGCAUCCGUUCUACCAACGUACACAUUGCUUCCAGCCUUCCAGUAUAAAAAGAAGCAUUAGAGAUGAAGAAAUAUUGGGUGAAUUGUAAUGCUUUUGAGGCGACGAACCAGUGGAGGAGCAUCUGACUGAGAGCUAGUUCAUUCUUUGCUUCCUGUUUCAAUCAGGUUGGCGCAAAUUGGCUUUGUCCGUACUUUUUCAGCUGGGAUGUCGUCGCUUCUGCUGGAACCUCGCGCUGCAGUUUUCCAGCGGUGCCGCCAAGCGCCAGGAAAGGAACGUCUCGUUCGAUCGACAUCGCUGGUAAAAUCUCAGCACCUUGCUUCUCUUCCGCGUUCCGUCGUCAGGAUUGCCUGAGAUCUCUGCAAUCGGACAGCCGAAUGCCGCUUAUUACGACUCGCGCAUCUAGCUUAUUACGACUCGCGCAUUAUGUUUUCCUCCGGUGACUUAUUUUUAGCACGUGUCACGUCGAAUGUUUAGAUACUAAUUAGGAGUAUUAAACGUAGACUAUUUACAAAACUCAUUACAUAAGUGGAGGCUAAACGGCGAGACGAAUCUAUUAAGCCUAAUUAAUCCAUCAUUAGCAAAUAUUUACUGUAGCAACACAUUGUCAAAUCAUGAACUAAUUAGGCUUAAUAGAUUCGUCUCGCCGUUUAGCCUCGACUUAUGUAAUGGGUUUUGUAAAUAGUCUACGUUUAAUACUCCUAAUUAGUACCUAAACAUUCGAUGUGACGGGUGCUAAAAAUAAGUCAGUGGAAGAAAACGGGUCAGGGACCUACGGCACUGUACGUGGAAAUCUCUCGCAAGUGACAGUAGCUACAGAGAAAGAGCAGUUGGAUUGUAGGACUCGUCACUCCAUAAGCGGCCUGCACUUGUGCGGCUGUGCUGUGCAGUGCCUGUGCAUCUCCUUCCCUCGGCACUCUUCUUCACUGUCCACUGUCCUUAGCCGCCUCCAGCUCUUGUUCUACGCUUCGUUCAGUGAAUCAGCGCCAGUGGCGGAGGAGUUGGAGUGAGCUUUGGCAGACAGGCCGCGGGCGCCGCCUCCACGACCGUACCCCCCUCGCGAUCGCAAUUCCUGACCGAAGCCCCCUUCUUCUUUUGGCUUCUCUUUCUCCGUCGCUGUCUUCCGGUUCCUUUCUUCCGCCCGCGCGCUCAAGAACUGUUCCCCUUUUCGCACCAGCAACGGAUCAAAAGUUUCCAUGCGCCCAUUAAUCGGUGGGCGAGUUCCCUGGAUUCUCCAGAUCACUGCCGUGCGGGCGGGUGGGGUGUUGUCGUUGCGCGGCGGCGGAUCUGGAUGCAUGUGGUUGGAAAUCUGCUCGAAAACCGGACCGCAUCUCCAUCUCAGUUAACGCAGCUGGAGUCCGACAUUGUUAACUAUGCUCUUGUUGCCUUUUGGACUGGACAAGGACGGAGUUUGACGACGGGCCACCUCCCUGUUUGUCGUUGUAAGGCGAAGGCGAGCGUUUGGUGACACAGAAGCUCGAGCUUGGAUCCUUCCAUGUCCGGCAAACUCCAAUCAUUCGUCCUUCUUUCGCGAAGGACCUGCCACUGAAUUUGGAAGGAAAAACCUGCAUUGGAUUGCGAGCGUGAGUGCACGACAGCUAGCUGUUGUUAAUCCAUCGAGAACCUGAGAGAAGAAUCCAAGCGCAAACAGCUUCGAACGAGCUCCGGUCGCUGUCUGGUUCGUUCGCGUCGCGGUUCUCUCUCUCUAUCCCACCGGCUGUUUCCCGUGAGCAGCAGGACGCUGUGCGCGGGCAUGGACGCACCCGGAAUUGUCGACCGGAACCUGUGCUGCAUUGUUUGUUUGCCAUCAGUUUGUGGUGCUGUGCGAUGAGGAAAUUGUGGUUUGGGUGCCGGCAGGGCAGGCUUCCGAGAGUUCCAGCUGCAUCAACAGUGAACUCUUCCACCUCUGUGAACCGAUUGCAUGUACUAACGCUGGAGCAGCCAACUCAUUUCGCACCAUGCCUGUUUACCGCUAGUAACUCGUUGAUCUCUGCCGAAUAAAACAAGGUAAGUUGAGCAUUCGAAACAGGAUCGGAGGAUUUCCAUCAUUUUGUCUGCUGUGCACGUGGGGAAAUCUUCUUCUUUAUACCAAACACAGAAUCUGCGGAUCAAUCCAAGGAGCAGCGUUAAUCGCGUCGUGAAUUUGGUGAGCAAAGAUGGUAAUCAUACCACAAAGCAAAGGGUUGCCCAAUUGCGCCUCCUGUUGCGGAAAUGCGGAGGCUGAUCUGCCUCCUGGAACCUUUGGCCCGAGCGGCCGAGCCAGCUCUGCCUCCUUCCGCGGUUCCGCCGCCUGCUCCCCGCCGGCGCAAGGCAACCCACGGCGUCACCGACAGAGGCAAUCGAAUAGCAACGUCACGUACCAGUGUUCCACCAUCAUGUUGUCCAGGCUCAUUCAUCCGCCAUUUUCAUCUCGAUAGAGCAGAGCAGAUUCCUCCCGAGGAGUACGCCGUCGCAAUCGCGACGAGACAACGGACCAUUCCUUUGUGGAAUUUUGUCUCUGGACGCCAAGCCGGGCCGGUCGGGCCGCGCACCCGCGGGGGCUCCUAGAUGGAGAACGGAAGCCAGAUAAACUCUAGCUUCCGGCCCAUCCGUCCAUCUUCUUCUUCUCCACCAGCACCGCCGCCGUCGACUCCUGCUUCCCCGGCGUCCCACCCCCGCCCCCUCCUCCACCGGCCCGGCCGGCGCCGCCGUGCUUCCUCCCACCAACCACCGCCGCCUCUCCACUCCACUUCACCCUACCUAAUCGUGCGCCUCCUCGCCCCCGCCACCGACCACCGCCCACCGGGGGUCCAACCCGGCCCUGUCGAGCGCCGACUCGCCUCCGCCGCCGAACGAACCACCACCAUCGCAGGGCCGCCACCGCCGCCGACCUCCUCCUCUAGGGCCGUCGGUCAUUGGAAGUCCCGGAACCCAGAAACCCUAAACCUAACCCCGCCAACCUCGACCACCACCCCGCUCGGUGGCGACCUCGCCGCCGGCCGCUUCCCCUACCCACCGCCCGCUCCUCCGAGCUCACUCCUCGGCGGCACAGGCGGUAGCGCCGUAGCGGCGGCGCGGCAGAGAAGAGGAAGUGGAGGAAGAGGAGAAGGGAUCGAACGGUGUUCAGCGCUCGCACAAAUCUUAAAGCGUGGAAGCCAAGUUACUAACGGGCUUCCGAAAGCCAUAUAGGAAUACCACCGCGCCAGCGUGUCCGUCCGAGAAAUUGCAGUCUAACAGCCCAGCCCAACAAAGUGCGGCCCGUCACUUGCUAAGACCGUCUGGGGUCAUUCCGGCCUACUACAAAGCCAUGUGCUCCCGGCUACGUACAGAAGAAAGAAGUGUGUUCCUCAAAAAAGAAGAAGAAGAAGAAGAAAGAAGCGUGCUCCGUGACAGAAAGGCCCCGGAUCGGCUCCACGCGCGCAUAAUAAUAUCUUAUCCAGACAUAUCCAAGUGGAGCGCUCCCAUAGGCCGCUCCUCCUGCGACGAAUCUAUUCCAUCCGCUGCAAGUGAUCCACAUCACCCGCGCCCCCACAACAAUCCGCGCCGCCUCAUCCCGUCCUCUCCUGCCCGCGCCAGCGCGCGUCCCUGUCCGCGCCGUGCCUCCGCACCACAAAAACGAGGGGGCUACCCCUUGCAGCGCAGCCACGAACGGACCCCCGGGCCAUAGCAGCUGCAGCGGAACCGAUCGACAGAAGAUAUGGCCGCCUCCUCCUCCGCCGUCUCUGGCCUCGCCGGCGCCGCCCUCGCCAGCCGGCCGGCUUUCUCCACCAGUAUGUGCACAAUGCCCCUUCUUGCAUGCGCAGUUGUAUCAUGUAUGGAGGUGGAGAACUGAUGACGUUGACGAUCCUUGCGUUGCAGGCUUCGUGCGGGGCGGCCGGGUGUCGGCCAGGAACCCGCUGAUGACGAGGAACCUGGAGAGGAACGGCAGGAUCACCUGCAUGACGUGAGUACACCUCUGGCUAGCUUUGCCCAAGAGCGGCAGCGCGCGUUGUUCAUGUUGUCUCUGUGAAAUCGUUGCUGAUCGAUCUCGGCGGUUUUUUCCUUUCCCGUGUACGUGCUCGCCAGGUUUCCCCGGGACUGGCUGCGGAGGGACCUGAGCGUGAUCGGCUUCGGCCUCAUCGGGUGGAUCGGCCCGUCCAGCGUCCCCGUCAUCAACGGCAACAGCCUCACGGGCCUCUUCUUCUCCAGCAUCGGCGAGGAGCUCGCCCACUUCCCCACGCCCCCGCCAGUCACCUCCCAGUUCUGGUCAGGCUCAAGACCUCGCGCUCACGCUCUGCCUGGCCACUGUUUCUGACUUUCUGUACGGCAGCAGCAGCAUUUGAUGGGGCUUGUAACUGACAGACUCACACACGAAAUUGUUGCAGGCUGUGGAUGGUGACAUGGCACCUGGGCCUGUUCAUCGUGCUCACCUUCGGCCAGAUCGGCUUCAAGGGCAGGACCGAGGACUACUUCGAGAAGUGAAGCGGCUGAGCUCCAUCUGCUGAAGCGGCGUGCGUGCCGCAUCGAACCUUGCUUUGUAUAGGGCUCUGAUCUGGCUGAAUUCAUGUGUGGUGCUGCUUUUGUGAUGAGCUCAAUGUAAAUGAGAAAAUCUACCGUCCCCCUGCUGCACGCUUGGGUUUAAUUUGAUGAAUAAUCUAGCUAGUGUCUCGUGACUGGAGAUCUUUGCAAAGUUUAAUUUGCGCAACAAAAAUGAGGGAGAAGUGUUCAAGAAUUGAAUUAGAAAGUGUGCAAACCUGAUAGGUGGCGACCAUAAUUUACGAGUUACGACAACAUGUCACCAGAGAGGCUGUGGCGCCUGUCAUGGCAUCAAGUGGGUAUUUCUGUGGAUUUUUGCGGAACUUGUCCUCGAUCGGACCUCCCUAAGGUUAAUCCUUCCAAACGUGUUUUGGACAGUGGAAAUUUAACCUCAUUUUGGGGCUCCUGAUCAGAAACAACAAUGCAGAGAUGAGUACUAUGCAUUGGAGGGGUUGUAUCAACAUAAUAAUUUAAAGAUAUUUUGUAUGACGUGACAAAUUCGAUAAACCAUCACAAUACUAUGCAUUGGAGGUAGCCUAAGAUCCAAGAUGUAGAUGAAUCCAAAAGUUCUACAUCACUGGAUUGUCCGUUUAACAAGCAUAGGGAAGCGAUGGGUGUGUAACGAUCGCAGAAUAUAUUUUUCCCCUCCUAGCUAGCAUUGGAUAGCCUUUAUGUUUAGAAAGAAGUAAUCGUUCGAAAAUAAACCCUACAUACCUUUUUAAAACGGAAUACCUAUUCCAUGGAAUAGAUAAAACGCCGGGAGUCGUUAGCAAUGAAGGAGGUCCUAGAUACAAGUUGAGAUGCUGUCAAUAAUCUAUGAUUACUUUCUUUAAAAAGAACAAAAUUACAUAAAUUAUACUUUACAAAUUAUAUAACUAAUUUUCAUCGAAGCAAUAACAAAAGUGGUAUGUAAAAAUCAUUUUUAGAUAUAUUCUACGAUUCUUGAGCUUUUUUUUAAAAGGAAAUGUAAAUUCUUUGGGGAAUUCCGAUUUGCCAACCACCGAGGAGGCCCAAGCCCAACUCCCAACGAAUACCCACUUGAAAAGGCCGAAAGGCUCCGCAAACGCAAAUGCCGACCCGCCUGACCGCCUUCCUUCUCGCCGGCGUAGCCGCAUGACACCCGCCGCCGGCCGGCCAUUCCCUACGGUCGCCGCCCUCCUCUGCCGCUGCCGCUCCUUCCGCUGCAUCCCGCAGGUCUUCCAAUCCCGCAUCUUCCGCCUCGGCCUCCACAACCACCAAGCCCUCCUCGGCCGCUUCGCCGCCACCUACAAUGCCCUCGCGUCCCCCUCCCCCAUCGCCGCCGCCGCCGCCAGCAGACCGUCCCCCGCGGUCGCCACCCUCCUCGGCCGCUGCCGCACAACUCGCUGCCUCGCGCAGCUCCACGCCCGCAUCAUCCGCCUUGGCCUCCACAACCACCACGCCCUCGUCGCCCGCUUCGCCGCUGCCUGUGACGCCCUCGGGUGCCCCACCGUCGCCGCCUCGUUCGUCGCCGCGAUUCCCGACUCCCCGCUCCGCCUCCGCAACGCCGUGCUCGCGUCCCUCGCUCGCCACGCCCUGCUCCACGCUGCGCUCGCGGAGUUCAACCUCCUCCAACGAGGCGCGCGGCCGGACUCCUUCUCAUUCCCUUGCCUCCUCCGCGCGUGCGCCCGCGUAUCCUGCCUACCCGCCGGACGCGCCCUGCACGCCGCCGCCAUCCGCCUCGGCGUCCACGCCGACCUCUUCGUCUGCACAGCGCUCAUCCAGUUCUACGGGAGGUGCGGUGCGGCUGGCCCAGCCCGGGCUCUAUUUGAUCAAAUCGACAUCCCCAGUGAGGUUUCCUGGACCUCCAUUAUUGUGGCUUAUGUCAACAAUGGUGACAUCGUGGCUGCUAGAGAGCUGUUUGAUAGAAUGCCCCACCGGAACGUGGUGCACUGGAAUGUGAUGGUUGAUGGGUAUGUGAAGUGUGAGGACUUGGAGGGCGCAAGGAGGCUGUUUGAUGAAAUGCCUGAGAGAACUGCCACAGCAUGCACAUCUUUGAUUGGCGGGUAUGCAAAGGCAGGGAACUUGAAAGUUGCUAGAUCAUUGUUUGAUAAGUUAGAGGACCGGGAUGUGUUCUCAUGGUCAGCGAUGAUAUCAGGUUAUGCGCAGAAUGGUUACCCUGGAGAGGCUUUGAGGAUAUUUUAUAAGUUCCAAGAGCAAGGCAUACACCCAGACGAGCUUAUUGUUGUUGGCCUGAUGUCAGCAUGCUCCCAAUUAGGUAACAUCAGGUUGGCAUGCUGGAUUGAAGAUUACAUUGCAAAAUACUCGAUAGAUAUUAGCAAUGUCCAUGUGUUGGCUGGUCUUGUGGACAUGAAUGCUAAGUGUGGGAACUUGGAGAGGGCUACUGUUCUGUUUGAGUCAAUGCCAGUUCGAGAUGUGUUUUCAUAUUGUUCACUGAUGCAAGGUCAUUGUCUCCAUGGUUCAGCUAAUAACGCUGUUGAACUUUUCUCCCAGAUGCUUUUGGAGGGCCUUUCCCCUGAUAAUGCUGUGUUUACAGUUGUUUUAACAGCUUGCAGUCAUACUGGUCUAGUAGAAGAAGGAAAGAAGUUCUUUGAUAUGAUGAAGAAUGUGUACUUGAUUGUGCCAUCUGGUGAGCAUUAUGCUUGCCUUGUCAGUCUUCUUGGACGUUGUGGGAGACUAAAAGAGGCAUAUGAGCUUAUAAUGUCGAUGCCUGGGAAACCUCAUCCUGGAGCAUGGGGUGCACUGCUGGGUGGAUGCAAGCUUCACGGUAACAUUGAGCUUGGAAAAAUCGCAGCAAAGAAGCUUUUUGAAAUUGAACCGUAUAAUGCUGGAAAUUAUGUCUCCCUUUCAAAUAUGUAUGCAAACAUUGACAGGUGGGGAGAUGUUUCAGUAAUUAGGAAUGAGAUGACUGAAAAGAGGAUAACAAAAAUUGCAGGUCGUACUAUUGUUUUGCAGUGAGGCAGUGUCAACCAGAAUGUUAUAUUUAUUUUGUCUCAUGUUACUGGCCCCAUUGGAAACCUGAGUAGGCUGUGAAGGAAGAAAGGAGACCUCAUGACGGUUAUGAAAUGAAUGGAAAACAAGAUAUCAUUACUCAAGUUAAGAUGCAUAUGGUGGAAGUUCAGCAUAUGUUGACAUAGGCAACAUGCUGAUCAGCAGGCUGUUAUGUUAAUAAUAGGCUGGAGGCUAUCUGAACUGAAUUAAGACACUUCAAUUUGCUUGGUGUUCCCACAAUUUUAUGCCAAUGAAAAAUUGUCAGAACCGGGAGGAUGCUUUGGUUGCUGGUGAGACCAUCCACUGCUGCCAUUGCUGAUGAAAUGAUUUCCUGUGAGUGCUCCCUCGUGCUUAGUCCUUCCUUAAUUUUUCGGACUGCAUCAAAUAUUACCUGUUAAUUCUAGUGUGUUUUUCCUCGAUUACUGGUGAACUCCAACUUCCAGCAAACAAACUGCUAUUAUCGAUAAGACGAAAUGGUUGCUUGCCUAAGUUUACUUUUAUCACCAGCUUCUCGUGAGUUAUACUGGUUAGAGAAGUGAACUCGUGGGGUCGUUGAAACCCCCUUGCCAGUCCAUGUUUGAAGCCUGGUACCCCUUCUUAAGGCAAAGCGCAGGCGGCAUCUUCCCCCUGAGGUCGAGUUUUUUAGGUUUACUUUUAUCCAGGGAUGCACGUGGGUACCAAUGGGUAGCUGUAGAUCACUUCCUUCAUUUUUUUUUCACAUUUCUUGCUUUGAAAUCCGGAUUAAUUCAUUUGGAUGAGUUUGGUCGACCGAAUGAUCCAGAGAAAAGAAAACUUUGCAUCCUUACUUUUAUCAGAUGCUUGGAUUAGCAUAAUCUGUUAGUUAUCUAAGGGCUCCUUUGGAUAAAGAAUCGUUCUUGCAACUUAUCCGGUAUGGUCUUGCCUCAGGAUUGAGUGAUGUGAGAUUUUCUGGAUAAGGAUUCCAGUUGUUUAAUGGUUCAAGUACAGUUGUUUAUCGACCGGUAAUUGCUUGGAUAUGAAACCAAUGUAUGCACUUGGUUUGUUUCCCACUAUAUAUCAAAUCUUUAAUUCUAUUUGGUUUCAUGGAGGUAUUCUAAAGUGAUAGCCUGAUUAGCUAGCAUGGAAUUCGAGGUUAAGAAAACUAGUACGUUGUAGGCUUGUAGCAUGUAAUCUUGACCCUGUAAGGCUGUAAGCAUUAUUGAAAUACCGAUUCCACAACUUUGUAUAUAAUCCUCAUGAACUGGUUUAUGUUUGAAGAACAAUAUUAUUACUGUCACUAAUGCUUCUGUUUUUAGUUUCUUCCUAGUAGUUAAUUCCCUCCUUGUUUCGUUUAUAGGGCAUAUUGGUAUUUGAGAAGUCAAAAUUCUAUCAAGUUAUUUUACCUCUACUUGGCCUUCUGUAAGAACUUUUUUAUAGCGAGCUGUUGACAACAAUCUUCUCAAGGUAAGGUGAGUCUCAAUACCAUGGUUCAUUUAUGGCUUGAACUUCAACGCAUCUGCAUCUAAAUGAAAUGUAUUGCUUCAGAAGUUCAUUUAGUUAUGUAUUGAAGCUGUUGAACAUGCAUGCCUCAGUAUAUAAUCCUGGAUGCUUGCUGCUGAGUUCAGUCGCACUUGCCAAGCAUAACCACUUGGAAUAUUGCUUUGAUUGGUGUAUUUUUAAUUCCUUGCAGGUACUUUCAAUGAUCAGGAUGCCAUUGUACAAAUAUGGUUCUGAUGAAGACACGAAGUUUUUACAUCUGUUAUGAAGGUACUUUUAAUCUUGACCCGUAAGAAUCAAUACAGAAAAGUUGCAUUGCACAUCGAAAAUACUGUACACCACAUGCUUUAUGUUCAUCAAUCAUUAUGCAAUUCUCUUAUGGUUAACUUGGCAAGAACAGGAAAUAAGGUGUAUCUGCUUUUUUGUUCAAUAUUCAUAGCAUAGUAAGUGGCCAUAUAUAUAGUAAUAGAAAGAUCAUAUUUGAACCAUAAUGUUGCAUUGUUGAAUUUUAAUAUAAUAUUGACGGGUCCAUAGACCCAGGGUCCCCAACAGGACUGUCUUCCCACAACACUUGGCCCAACGAAAGGCGCAACAACAAUGCGUACCUGGGCUGGCCCAGCUAUGUGAAGCCAGGCCGAGACCACAAUCCGGACACCAGCCGGCUCCUCCGACCAGGAAGCUUGGUCGGCGCCCCGACCAGAAGGAGCCAGUCGGGGGUGGGGCCACAGUCCAACCCCGACUGAGUUCUCCCGACUGGAUCCUCCCAACCAAGUCCUCCCGAAUGGGGAUGCACCGUACCGCUCCCCCCGACCGACUCGGUCGGGGCCGACUGGGACAACCGAUCGGGGACGCCCGCUCGGUGUGGGCCCAGGGAGCAGGUGGGAUGAAUAACGAGGAAGCGCCUGGGUUAGCCGGCUGUAUGCGAACCGUACCGCGCCAAGCACUACACACGCCUUGCACAGUGCUGCCGUAAACCUACUCGCUACGACGGAGUGGCCUGACGAGGAGAACAGGGACCAAGGAUGGAGGCGAUACCGUACCCGACGACGUGGGCCCCAACAAGACUAGGCAGCGCCCGUACACUCACUCUCUUAUCCUUUCCGACCUGUAAGGCCGUUCCCUUGUACUAUAAAAGGGGACGGACCCUCCACCUCUACGACUUACGCCCUCUUACGUUCUUACACUCCUACGCUUUCAUACUCUCACACACUUAGCGCACGUCUGAGCUCCUGCCACUCUCUUCCACUGAGACGAGAACAAGGCCAAGACUCAAGCACCCCCUCUCAUCCUCCUCUCGUUUGUACCCCCAUUGCAAACUUUGAGCAUCUGGGCUUAGAAAUAAAGUCGACCAACUGACCCCGACUGGACGUAGGGCGCGUUGGUCGAAUCAGUAUACAUCCUGUGUCAUUGUGUGCUAGGCCAUAUCCGAUCUAAUGCACGGCAAAACUACAAAUACUUGUCGGCUAGAUUUCGCACCGACAAUAUCGUCUUCUGACUCAAAAUGUUCGUGCCAAAAGUAUAAAAUUAUUUUACAUUUGUUGGAAUUUUGUUUGUAUACCUGUAGCAAUAUGCACAAUCCUUUCUAAUCCUAGUCAGGUUUGAAAAGUCUGAUGUUCCUAGGCACUCCUCCUGUAAUUGUUAUAUCUGUAAGAACUGAUACCAAUGAUGUGGUCGUUUCAGGCUUUCAGUUCUGGAGAAGGUCUUGAAAUUAUGACUUGUUGAUUUACUUGAUGAAGUGUAGAGCCUGUUGGGUUCAUAUACAGGUCUGUCAAAAGAUCCCAGUGCUCAUGAGCUACUCGUGCUGAUCUUGUGUGGCAUGUUUUGAGCUCAGUUCAAACUCUACAUAAGAUGAGAUUAUGCCUAGACCAAAGCUGGCCACAGCAUAUUGAGCUUGAUUGGUGUGGUUAAGGCCCGACUCUCCUUAGUUUCCCCAAGACAUGUGAUGUAUCCAUCCCAAAUUUUUAAGCUGAGAUCACGCUUACUAAAGCUUUUGCCAAGCUUGUAUACAAAGCAGUUGCUCAUUUUCCAUGAGCUUUGGUCGAGUUAUCAUAGAAGGUUAGAUAUUUAACCUUAGAAAAAACACCUAUUUUCCUGAAUUUCCAAAUUACUAUAAAAUCAAUUAACUGAUUUCUAGAGCUCCCUUCAACCGAGCUUGACCUUCCAUGAGCUUUGGCUGAGCCAAGCUAGUGCCCAGCUCUAAACUUAAAGGCCAGUCUAUGCUCAGCUCGAGCCUCUGUCUCACUAUGAUUGGCUCGUUUGCAGCCCUAUAGAAUUUAAUUAUGCUCUUAUAAACUGAAAGUCCACUAGGCUAUGAUUUAGUCAGUACGCUAACAUGUCAAGCAGUUGCCAUUAAUGCUCACAUGUUAUUUACCUUUUGAUUCGAGGAAAGGUACUUUCAGAUGCUUCCAUUUGGGAUACCUCUGGUUAAGUUGCAGAAUCGGUACUAUAGUAAGUUAGUAAAUAACAUGUCAUAUGUCUGUUAAAUUAUACCCUACUGUCCUAGUCUUAAAGAAAGCAAUUAGAUUGGUUGCUAGAUGGAUUCAAGUGGACCACCUUUCAUAGUGCUUUCUUGACUUUUCGUCUGCAUACCAGCAUACAAGAUACCUAUGUGUGAUUUUGUGGUCCAGCAUUACAUGCUUGUGAAAUGUCAGAGCUCAUAGUAGUUUUCGGACUUUAUAAAGCCAUGCUAAUCAUGGUAGUAAUACUUCUAGGAUGAUACAUGUGUGCAAGUCAGCAAAUAAGGGGAUUUUGUGCGACUUGCGAGACAUGAUUGCUUACAAAUGGCAUGAAGCUGAUCUAGCCAGAAAUUGGGCUUCUCAGAGUAAAAUGGGCUUAGUAACAAACCAGACCAUGACUUGCUUUGUCAUAUUUGAACUUUGCCUUAUGAAAUUUUGAUGCAUGUGUUAUUAUGUCAAAAAUACAAUGCUUAGCUGUAGCUAAGCUUGAACAGAUGCGUGCAUAAUAAUGCGUGGGAUCAUUGGCAAGCCAUGAUGUGUCUUUUUGGAUUAUAAAGGGAUAUUAUAUUAAUACAUUCGAAGGUUCAAAAUACCCUUGCAGCUGUGCUUGAAAGUUAGUGCUUUACAUGUGCUAUCCUAGGUAUAUAAGCCUCACCUAGUGCCUACCCACCUAGCCUGUUGGAGCCUCUCUUGCAUAGGUGGUGCAUGAUCUUUUGUUUUUAGGUGUAUGGAUCUGUUACGGCCUGUUAAUGGCAGACAAACUUAUCUUCAUGUCGAGAGUAUUAAUAACUUGCCCACGUAUGGUGCUACUACACCAAUAUCGCUCUCCCAGGUCAAUGAUCUUGUUAUUAUUGUAAUCACACUUUGAUUCAAACAUUGACCUUACGGUAUUCACAUUAGUAGCUUCACAACAGUAACAGCAAUUUGGAAAGUAUAUAAAAAUAUUAACACACUCUGCUUAUCUGGUUGGCCCGUGUUAGAUUCUUAGUGGGAUGUGUGCCUGCAAGCACUAUGUCUUCUUGUGGGCGUGCACACGAGUGUAUGUGCAUGUCGUGGCACAUGUCUACCACUACCAUUAUGAUGCAUGUUCUGAAUCCUGUGAUAAUGCCUCUUUGAAGGAAGUUCUAGUACUUGGCCUGCUGAGGAUGGGGUGCUAAAUUUGUCCUGAUCUUCGUUAGGUUAGGCGAUUGAGGUGUGAUUAUAUGGACUAAACGAACCUCUGUGCAUAAGAACCUUCUGAAAUAUUUAGGGAAAACCGUUGAAGAAGUGGGUCUAAUGGUUGGAUUGUGGUGACGAGUCUCAUACUAUAUCAGUUAUAUGAUUGACUAAAUCGUAUGAUCAAAUUCUUUUGCAGGUUGCUACAAACUAUUAAAAUUUUGAGGCAUAAAAUGCUCCACUUGGCUUAAUAAUAUUAAUGUCAUAUUCUUUUAUCAUUUCAAUAUAUUAAUGUCAUGUUGCACCAGUGCUUCUCAGUAUAUCUUCUACAAAAAGUUUUAAACAAAUAAUAGAGGCAUAUAGUUUAAUUGUAUAGAGCAUAUAGGACAAGUAUAAGCUGGGACAGUACACGAACUGGAAAAAAUAUUGAAUAAGAUCUAGACUUGUCCUAUGGGUUGACAUUAGGAUUAUAGUUUGAACUAACACACUAUGGAGGUAUUAAGGAGGUUCAAACCUUCUUUUGUUGUUUAUUCAAGUUGGGCUAUGAAGUUCAUGGCAGUAUCUUCAAGCAACUGCGUUAAUGCUUUGUUCCCUCUAACAACGUGUCAGUUUCUUGAAGUAGUCUACUCCUGAGUUCGUACUAGCAUUAAAAGGAAGAUUAAUGUGAUGCCUGCACUCUGAGUCCACUAUCUUCAGACUAAGGGGGUGUUUGGGAAACACCUGUUAAAGUUUAACACCUGUCACAUCGGAUGUUUGGAUGCUAAUUAGGAGUACUAAACAUAAGCUAAUUACAAAACUAAUUGCACAGAUGGAGUAUAAUUCGCGAGACGAAUCUAUUAAGCCUAAUUAGUCCAUGAUUUGACAAUGUGGUGCUACAGUAACCAUUUGCUAAUGAUGGAUUAAUUAGGCUUAAUAGAUUCGUCUCGCGAAUUAGCACAGGGUUCUGCAAUUAGUUUUAUAAUUAGCUCAUGUUUAAUCCUCCUAAUUAGCAUCCGAACAUCCGAUGUGACACUGUUAAAGUUUAGCACCUCGUAUCCAAACAGCACCUAAGUUAAACAAGUUCUUUAGCUUAAUGCAUUGUUUUUCCCUUUUUAUUUUUUAAGGAUGCUUCGGAUGCUUUAAUGCAUUGUUAGUUGGGCGCGCUCGUGCGUGUGUGAGAAGAUUAGGCGUUUGACUCACUCCUGCAACAUUAAUGCGCAGGAUCUUUUCACUUGUUAUUAGAAUAUGAUAUUUAGCCUUAAAUCUCUUUUGAACCGCGAGUUACAAGAGAGCUGCCGCACUUAAACCCCACGGUGUUGCAAGGUUAAGAUAUUGGCGAAGAUGUUCCCUUCGUGGGUGGGAUGAUCUAUUUGUCUAUUCUUCCAACGCAACAGGGGAAGAGAUGGAAAACUAAUGCCGACUGCCAAUGGGAAAAUUGCUAGCUGUUUUUCUACACAUCUCUUCGUUCAUUUGUAGAGAUUACGUACAGUGGAAAUCAAGUGCUAAUCAUAUGAGUUCUGGAGCUUCCUAUUGCAAUAAUUUGCUUUUUUAUCCACCUUUUUCUCCCUUAGGAUUUGAAGGGGUUGCAUGCAAUAUACGAUGAUAGAUCACAUGUACGACUAUAUAACACACUUCUGGAUAAUUGGGUGCAACAAACAUUACUUCAAACUAUUGCCAUCUUGCGGCAAAUGUUUUACUGAAGUUUUUGCUGGAUACUACACGCUUAUGUUAUUCAGUGCUAUAUAAUUAUUAUUAGCUGCUGCUCCAUUUCGCUGAAUUAUCUUUGUCUCUCAAACAAUGGAGAUGAAUUAUGACGGAUAUCCUCGAAAAAUGAUAAUUAUCUCGUUUUAUGUACACGAAGUGCCUUUGGAGUUAUCAGGCACCAGGUUUGCUGCUUGCAAGGCAAAUUGUUCUUUCAAUUGACCAAAGACGUCGUAUGGGCAUGUUAUAGCCGAUUUAUAUUAAAGAAACAAUAGGAAUCAGUACAGGGAAAGCUGUGCCAUAAAAGAAAAUUACAAUGAAAUUUGACAGAGUCUUCUCGCAUCCAUCGCAACCAGUGAAAGACGCGACAAGUACACAACCAAAUAAGAUCCAAAUGAAAUCCAGUUGCAACAGAAAAGUUUGCCUCUCCCUACAAGGCAAAUUUUGGAUCGAGAGAGAUUGCAAGAUUUGGUAUUUUUUUUCUAAGCAAAUUAGGAAUGGGAUUAUCUUGGAGGAAGCAGGGUUGAUCGUGGGAGCAUUUUAGGGGAAAAGGGAAUCGGUAGGAACUCAUUUGUUUUUGUUACGCAUGAUUUAGGACGUGCACGGCAAGGUGUGUUAUUUGGUGGUAGAAUCUGUAGAAAGUUUGGAAAAACAAAUGGAUUUUUGAGUUUAUUAGUGACAAAAUAUUACUUUUUUAUACCUCAAACUCCCUGCCACUGCUGUAUUGUCUUAGACAAUUAAAUUGGAAAUAAUUGCAAACCAAUAUUACAUGGGCUAAAUCGUGUAUUUUGCAUUGUGGUUGUUCUUUAUAUUUCUUCUAAUAUUCAAUUCAAAUACCGUCGCCAAUUUCACUAAGCACACACAACUUAUUAUCAGCACCAUGAGAGCAGUACCUAGGUCUGUCCUGUCGUACGUGCUACAUCGGCAUAUCCUAGCCGCAUAUACUUGAAUUUAUAUAUGGAAUUUAAAUCACUCCUUAUCACGAUUCACGAAGGAGUGACGCAUCAACAGUUUAACGCCAUGUGAGCGCCAUUUAUAAGUUUAGCGCCACAACCAGAACCGCACCAGAAACAAUAUAAAGUUUUGCAGCCCAAAAUUUUUCAUACAAUACUCAAGAUAAACUAGUAACUUACAUACAAAAAGGAAUUCAAAAGAAGACAUCAGGCGUACACCAAGACUGGGACUUCUGGAGAAAUCAUAAUUCUGCGCAAAUUUCUCAAUUAACAAAGAACAGUAUUACCAGUAGCAACAGAUGAAACCACAAUAGCAUGAGUGAUGCUUGGAACUUUUUUUUUGGAAGCUUUAAUCAAUACAUUAGACUGUUCCACGAAUUAAAGAAGGGCACAUGGGAUUGGCCCCAAAACACCGACUAAUCACAAUUUAUACAUGCAAAAUCAUUUUAAACUAUAUCCUGUACUAAGUAACCUAAUGCCACAGUUAUGAUCCCACAUUCAGGUCAACCCCCCUUGUCUCCGUAGUUGGGCUGCAGUUGCGUUCAACUCCGCGCCUUCCACCCACAAUGUUAAACACAUCAGCAACGAAUCAUGGCGAAUGAUGGCAAAAUAAUAUGUGAUCGGGUAAGGCGAAAUUUAAUCUUAAAAUUUGGCUCUGGAUCCCAAAACCAUUCAUUAAGGCUUCCAUUUGCCCCAAAAGUGGCAUUAAUGCUGGGAUUAGUUCCAGCCAAGGCACAAAGAAAAAAGAAAUGCACAGAUGGCUCUCUCUUAACCAUGUAGAGUAGCAGGCAGUAGCAUUGACCAGACCCAAUGCAACACACAAACCAAAACAACUUUAAGUGAGUUGUAUGUCAUCAUCUACCAAGGUGAGAUAUGGAAGCAAUCUUGGGGGAUUACAUUACUGGGUUCCUACUAUGACUUGAGAAGCAACUUUUCGCUCUUUUUUUAAACAAAAGGUGAUUAAGUCGCAAACUGGGAUACAAUAUCUCAAUAAUACUAAUAAGUCAACUGUUGAAUUUAAUAUAUACACUGUCAGCAUUUAAACUUUGCAAGCUGGAAACAAUCAAAAUCCCAGCAGACCUGUGAUUCAUAGAGAAAGGGCUGCUCUUAUGUGCAUCAAACAAAGUGACAUUAAUGAGUUUGCUUAUCUCUUUGCCAUUGUAUCAAGAUGCGCACCAGGCGAUGUAUGGGUACACAGGCCUUGCCUUGCGCCAUUUAAAGUCCUAAUUGCAUAAGCUAGCAGCAUGCUCCAUGUAUUCAAGAGCCUCAUUUAUUCAAAUAAACAAAAACAAUGGCUCAGCGUUCAAGUCCAUUUAGUGUUCAUUUAGCAGUGCUGUGCAUUUGAAAUGCUGUGCCCAAUAAAUUCCAUUCGAGGCCACAUCAAGUUGUGAAAUCAAUUGGAGAGCCAGUCAAAAUUUUACUGUACAAGAUUUAGAAAUAAUCAAAUCGAAACAAAAUUGAUGAGUUCUUCAACACUCAACUACACAACCAAUAUUAAUUGUCAUAAUUAUCUGAUGAGUCCACCUAACUUUCCAAUACCAUGCAAGGGAUUAUUUCUAAAAUCUAUUGGAGGUCACUUAUUUUCAAAACAUGAUUCAGAUAUCGAUAGUGAGUUUCAACUCUAACCCACAUUAUACGACAAAAAAAUAUGCCAAAAAAAACUUUGUAGAGCAAUUACUUUUCGUCGCUAGCAGGCUAAGAAAAUACCAAUUAACAAGCUAAACAAAUUCCGAUUAAAUGCUAAAAUUAUUGACUAACCCAUUACACACCAUAAUAGUAGAAGCUUCCCAGCACUACUUCUCAUUUGGAAAAAGCAAAGCAAAACAACCGGAGAUAUGUAUUUGAGCUCCUAUCUUCCUCAUUUAGAUUUGUCAAUCUUUUGCAUAUGACCCAACAGGCCACCACAAAGCCUCUCACCUCGCACUUCUCUUCCACCCAACACAUAUUCAAUCCUUCCCUUGCCACUCCCCAACCAUGAAUAUGAUAGGCAAUAAAAUGUGUAUAAAUGUACUACUGCUACUGAGAUAGGGAGUAAUUAAAUGGGAGCAUACCUCUUACUGUCACAAUAAAGAAAACCAAUUGACCUCCCAUCCUUCCCCCCCUAUAAGUACCAUCCAUCUCUUCUCCAAUAGCACCAAAGAAACACCUCUGAGCAUUCUAAAGCUCAAGAGUUCUCUCCUCUGAGAGCAUCACAUAUCGCUCUCAUCUCCACCUGCUUACACCCAGCGCCUGAUCGCCCCACAAAACAGUAAGUUCCCUUGCUAAUCCUCAUAACAGUAGCAAAUUCAUUCUGAAGUGUGUAUCUCAAUCAGCUGAUUCAAACGUUUAUGGAUGCAGGCAGCCACAUACCUCCCAGGAUGAGCCGCAGCAACAGGAAGAGCUCUAGGGGCCUUGACCUGAAGCUGAAUCUCUCACUUCCGGCAACAGGAGACUCCUCCAGGAGGCUGAUGGCUGACGAGGAGUCAUCCCCGAGCUCCUGCCUGUCGUCCGAGAACGAGCAUGGCCUGCAGUGGUCCAACAGCCCUGAGGCCACGUCCAUGGUUCUUGCUGCCUGCCCUCGCUGCUUCAUCUACGUCAUGCUCCCCCAGGAUGACCCUCGGUGCCCCCAGUGCAAGAGCCCCGUGCUCCUUGACUUCCUGCAGGACAACAACAAUAGUAAGAACAACAGUAAUAGCAAUAGCAACAGGAGGAGCAGGAGGGGAUGAACAACAUGGUUACAUUAGGCAGCACAACACAAAGAAAAAGUGUUAUAUGAAGUCCUAGAUCCAGUAAUUCCAUUUUGUCAGGACAUUUCUUCAGUGUAACCCUGAUAUAUCCAUACUAAAAUUGUGAAGCUAGCACCCAUGUGUUAGUAUCACAAUUUUGAUAUAUCACAGAUACACUGGGGGGUGGGGACUAUAUCCUUCAUCCUUGUUUCCUUCUUUUGCGGCUCUAAAUGUAAUAGUUUUUCUUAGAGAUAGUACCAGACUUCCUGUCUUUUCAUUUCAAGAUAAAAAGAAAAGUUCACCCCUGAUAGUGUGAAAUUGAGAAGUAACUUCAUUCUAUCAUCCAUAGCAGCUUCAAAUCCGAGCUUCCUCAAGUCACCGAUUUCAAUUUUCUCAUUGCUUUAUGUUAGAUAAGGAAUCCAAACCCAAAACAGGAAGAAGGGGAUACACAGGAAGAACAGUCAAUCACAGAAAUGGGUGUUAGGAAGUUGUCAUCACAGGUUAGCUGAACUGACCAAUUGGCAUUACUGCUUCCACGUUGCAACAUAAAGAGGUGUGCUUCAUGGACUCUCUCAACUAGCCCUGAAGAAGACAUUAAGUAAUUGAAAUGGUGAUGGAAUUUCAAAUUGGAAAGCGAGAUGUUAAAAACAGUUGAAAAAAAGACGGUGUGACGCCAUGCAAUAAAUACUGAUUAAUUUCGUCAUGCGUCACUCUAUCUCUUUCCAUUAUACAUCCAUCUGAAUACGUGCAUUACGACGCAACAACCUUACUCAAUGCUGCUUUGGUCAACUUUGUCAAGCCAAUAUAUUUAAGUUCACUUAAUAAAGACGCCUCAGGUUAAGUCCAUAUCAUCAUUAUCAGAUACAUGACCAGCCAUACUACAAAUUGGUCUGAAUCACAUCAAAAGGAGAAAGAUCAAAAUAACAUGUGCGUAUAUAGUAGGCAUCCUUCAAUCCAUGUUGACUGGAAAUAGCAAGUUUGUCACUUUCAUUGAAGAAAACAACAGUGUUUCAGUCUUUCAGGUUGUAAUAUGGUAGUUCAAUAACAAGACAACAGAAAAGGAAUGAACUGUUAUCAGAGAAAGAAAUAAAAUGACAGCAGCAAGAUAAGAAAGAAGCAAGAAACAAAGCAAUAUUGAAAUAUCAGGCCAAAGUGUAUUACAAUAUAUUUACGACAGUUAUAGAAAAAAGUUAGCUAAUUUAAUUAUUACCAUGAUCUCUAGUAAAGUUUGUAUAUUUAACUAUUACCAGUAUAUUUACCAUUUAACUAUAUUUAGAUAAAGGCUGUAUUGCAGCCUUUUCGUUUGGUGAGUGUGGGGUCUACGUGUACUUGCCUUGUCAUAUACAACUAACAAACCCAUGAUCUCAAGUCUCAGAUCAACUAAGUUACCAAUUUGACACACCUAAUGACCAAAAGCAUAAGCUAAUAGAAAUGUGAAAACACCUGCAUGGAAUAAAUUGGAGCAUGACAGAACUGAUAAGGCAAAGAACCCAAGGAUGUGAAACAAAUAAAAAAACAUCAAGGUAUUAAUCUGCAUGUUCUUUCAUAUUUGCAUAUUACAUUAUUUUUCACAUUAAAAUAAUUACAAGAUCAUUAGAAGGAAAAAAAAGCUAAUCUGAGGCCUGGGAGAUUCACUAAAGAGGGAAAUUAAAGAACAAGAGGAAUAAUUGAUCUUCUGAACUACACAGAAUAAUAAGCACUCAAACCACAGCUAAGGUCAAUACCAGUGAGUAUAUCCAAAAGUACUGAUGUCGAGACUAGAGAGUAUGACAAACUGAAGCUCCAUGGAUAUUUUCAAGUUGAGGCCAAAAGUGUCUUCUACAGAACCAAAGGAAGAAGCAGGAUAUCAGUUCACAAUCCUAAAUGAAAUAUAUAGGGAACUAAUGUCCUCUUCUUAUCCCCUUCUGUGCUAACAUCAUGAACUUCAAGGUCAUUUUUGCACUAUUUGUUGUUCAAAGUGUGCAACAGAUUCUGCAUCAACUAGUACAUCUCAUAAGUGCAAAGAAUACAAAACGCAAAAUCUUUUAAUUCCGGAAGACACUAAAAGUAAAAUAAGAUAACCAACUACUUCAUUUGGAUUUAUUGUACAUAUGAAAAAGGAAAUAUAACAUUGCAACUCUGCACGUUUCUUUGAACAUCAGCAAGCUUCAUCUCAAGUUACAGGCCAGUAUUCCAAUAAGCUAAAUAACAAAUGCCUACAACACUAUAUGUGGAAUGAACGAAUAAUGGGUCCAGAAUAGGGAGAAUAGGGGAGUUACACCACAUGAACAUGCACUCUAAAAGAACUGAAACUAACACAUGCAGCUGUAAACAAAAUUGCUUAUUACAUUGUUUUUGCUUAAUAGAGAAAUAGGGAGUAUCUGGCCAAAGAAACGUGUUGACAAUAUUUGGAUCUCAUUACAAUUUUAAAAUAUAAGUUAGAUAUGCACCUUUAGAUUAUACACAAAGCCACACCUUGCCCAGUGAAAAUGAGAUAGCCCGCUACUUAUGUUCUUUUACACUCUGAACUUGUGGCAGCACCUUUCAGCCAUUCCAUUUGUGUUCAGGUUAACCAACACAAAAAGGGCAAGGUUACAUUACAAAUCUCAAGUUAACCAACUAAUUCAAGAAUAAAGUGCACUUUAUGUUCCAUUGCACAUGUCAGGUUAACCAAUACCUAUCAAUGACCUCAUAAUUUAUAAAGAGCAUGCCUUUAGUUGGAUGAAAGAAGCACACUUCAAAAAUGGCUGAAGCCUUUCUCUGACUGCGUCCUUUUUCGAAAGAAAGAAAAAAAACAAGGAAAUCCUUGACUGCAAUCAUCCUGACAUGUGCAAUGGAACAUAAAGGGCCUAAACGCACCAUCUGUAGACCGCAGACAAGAACAUUCACCUAAUGCUGACCCAUUCAUCCACCAAGGGUCCCAAUGCCGACAAGUUUGGCUGCAUAUGCAGUCACCCAAGCGCCGCAGAGGCAUGUUCCCGCAGAAAUCACAUCGUGUCACAUGGAAAUGUCUAGACGGAACUACCAGAUUGAAAGGCUGUGGCGUAGUUGAACUGCGACAUUGCAGACAUGUGCACGAGAGACAUUAAUUGCAACUAAAGCACGAAUUGUAGCAUAAACUACUGUUGUAUGGAACAAAAAGAAGACGGAAAAAAAAAUACACGCAGCUAUCAUAGUCCCCAAAAGACUUCAAUCACGAAUCCGAGACCAAACUAGGGUUGUAUAAAAUCAAACAAAAAAAGCACGGAAUGUAGGUGAAAAUGCCCCCAAACAAGCACGGAAAAAAUCGAGACCUCAACCGUCACUAUGAGCAAGAGUACAACCGUGUCAAGUGGCUCCCCUAGUUGCUCAACUCGGUUCAGAAAGCCGUUCGCCGAGGACGAGGUGAGGGCUCCGGCCUCCGGACUUCUAGAGGCGAGGGCGUUGCGCCGACGAAGACGGCCGCUGCCGUUUCGCUUCGUCUCCCGAAAGCGAAAAGGUCGCAGCCGCUCGCGGCAUGGGUUCGUUCGUUCGUUGGGCAGCACUGCCCGAGGAGAGAGCAAUCUGGGUUUGGCCCAACUGGCCCAUGUUCUCGUUGGGCCGAACGCAGUAGGCCAGCCAGCCCAUGACUCGAUCGGAGCCUGCUGAAAAUUGGUCGGCGCCUCCUCCCCCUCUGUUUCGCUCUCGGCCGCCGCCCCCGCCGCCGUGGGCGCCAUUCUUUGUGCAACGCACCCAACCAUCGCUGCUGGCACACAUCUCGGUCACGGCGGCGCCGGGCGGCAAGGGUCACCGAGGCGUCGUGGCGCAGAGGCGCAGAGCAGUUCGAUGUGCUUCCAAUCCGAGAGUGAUCGAUCAGUCCGGCCCCAAUCCGGGGCACCAAAAUUUCAUUUCGCCGCCGCUAAUCUUCUUCGAAAAUAAGCAAAUCCGGAGGCGGCAGAUGAAAUGCACAGUGAAGCUACUAGUCCGGAAGAGAACAAAAACGAGAAGGAAUCGCACAAAGAGAGAAACGAUUCUUGGAAUCUGGGGAGGAUAAGCUACGUUAGGCAAAGGACCAGGUCACAUAUUCGCCCUCCUCACUGCUGCGCGUGAAUAAUCUUGCUGGCCCAACGACAUAUAGUAGAAGAAAACACAGCCUACAUGCUCCCUAUCAUUGGCAUGCAAUUGCUGCUAAAAACAAAAGGCUCCCUACCUACUAUCAGCAACCUCUCUCAUUUGUUUAGGCCACGCUUGUCGGAUCGAAGGUUCUUGCAUGCUCAUUUUCCACCACGCCAUUGCCAUCUGUAAGUAACAUGAUGCAGUUCCCAAUGGGUGACAUGAUCAAUUCAUCAAGCACUAAGAGGGGGAAAAAAUCACCACACGCUUGGUGCCGAUACCUGCAGUCUCCUCUCGAUCAUUUCGAUCUCUCGCACGCAUGCAUGGGCCAGCAGCCGGCUCUCAAUUCCAGCCGGUACCUCUCGAGCAACUCAACAUGCUCGAAGCUGGUGAUCUGUGUGGGAAUCCCAGGGUGACAGUGUGGUCACUGCUUCUAUACGAGCUUGAUGGGCUAGAGACAAGGAACUAGUCAACUUUGCAUGUGCAGACGGGGCAUCAUUAUCCUUGUGAAUCCGCAACCGUAGUUUCUUAACUCCACUCGAUCAUCAUUUGGAAGCUCUGCCCUGAAGAAUUGUUAUAAAACACUGUGUCGUUUGUUAAGUCAGACUCUCAGGGGCGUGUCUUCUCUUCUGUUCCCCAUGCUUCAAAUCUGCUUCCCAUAAUUCGGCACCAUCAGAGGAACAAACCUAAUUACCUUCAUAACUAGUGGGUGACUAAGUGCAAUGAUUAAAGUACAUGAAUGCAUUUUUCUAUGGGUUUGCAUUCUCUGCAAUCCACUUGUGCUGAACAAACUGAAUUUCAAUGGGGAAAUUAGUUGCAGCACACUAAGCUACCAAAUUAUACGACUCCAUCUUAAUUAAAAUGCCAACAUCCACAGCAUUUUUUUGGCAAAACAACACACACAAUUAUUAAUGUACUUUAUCAGCUGCUGGAUGCUGCUAGGACGUUGUCUCUUUUUUUUCCGACUCAAUUUCAAAUGCAGGCAACAACAGAGACAUGCGGCUUUUGCUCCACCCACAUAACCUGAUGAAAAACAACUAAACUUUCAGCAGGAAGAACAUCACUAUAAGAGAACAAGAAGGUGGCAUCCAAAACGCAGCCAAAAACAUGGAAGAAAAGAUCUAAAAGCUUAACGGCCGUGCAUGUUGGCAUUUGUCGGCUUAUAAUUGCCUGAAACCUUGCUAUCCUUUUGCCAAGGGAACAGGUCAUUAGGCCCUGAAAAGCGCCAGCACUGCCCCUCUUUGAGGCUUUGAGCACGUAGCCGUAGGAUCCAUCAACUUUCUCUGUGGAACCAAGUGGCCCGUUGUAUAUUCCAGCCUAGCUUUUCUUGUCCUAAGGAACAGGGAAAGCCUCGCAGGGGACAUCAGGGACCAUCAGUAGGGUUCAUGGCCAUUUUGCCCCUCAAAUCCUAUUCAUCUUCAAAGCAACAUAUAGCCGUAUACUCUAGCGGCAGAAACAGAGAAAAGCCAUGCCGGCCUGGACCGUCGGUUGCUCGAUCCGACGGCCCUGGACACCCGUAGGCUGCAACCUCUCACACGUGCACAACUCCCACUCGACACGAACUUAAAAAACAGACAAAGCUUUCUCCCUCAAAAGCAGCAAUGGCGAACGCGUAUAUAAUUAGGCGAUAAAGCAUGGCUUUUCCUCUCAUCUUGAGAACGACGAAGACACGCUCGCGCGCGUGGAGGCUGAAGAGCUCGAUCGUCUCGAGGGGACUGCGAGCAUGGCCACUGUGGCGUUGGGCCUGACGGCAGGAACAGGACAAGGGGGUGGCGAGUAUGCCUUGUUUAAUGGUAAUCUCCCUGGGAAGAGGCCAAGGGAGAGAUUUUUCUAUGGGACGUUUCAAAUUUUGUCACAAUGCCCAACCGGCCCUGUGACCGUCUCUGUCAGGGCAAGGAUCUCUCCAAUAUCUCUCUGAUGGUCCGUCUUAAUCUUUCACUUGUUCAGAGAUGCUCAGGAUGUGUCCAUGGCUCCAUGCAUGAAUGAUGAAUACAUCACCUGAUACAUGCAUCCAUGAUCCAUGGUGUACUUGAGCAUGGUUUCUUCUGUUCUUCAGAAGUUCUUCAGAUAGAUGAAUGUCAUGUUGCUAGUUUUUGCUUACCGGACUUGCAGGACAGCAGCAAGCGAGAGCAGGGCCAUAAGUGUGAGACGUGACAUCUUUACACCUGCCACCUUGCAUCCAUUCAAUAGCUUGCAGAUUGUGCCAGGCAGGCAGGCGCCCUGUAGAUUUUUGCAUCUGUCUUUUUUUUAAUUGAAAUCGGGCAGAGAACAGUACACAGUACUGCAGCAAUUCAGGAAAUAUUGAAUGUGGGAUUCAGGGAGUGGCAGCUUGAAGCGGAGAAAUCCACAGGGUGCAUUGUAAAUGCUCCAGGGAGAUGAACAACAACCCACAGGUCAAAAUAGGACCAAUGCCCACAAGACCUGUAUACAACAGAACAUUGUUUUGACCAGCACAGCUGUUUAGAUUUUGUGCUGUUCCUCAAAUAUAUAUUUUUAAGAAAAAACUGUAAUGCUUCAUGCUAGCAGAAAGCCAGAAAACAGCUUAGGCUCAAAAAUAGUUUAGAAAUGCAGCUUUGGGGCAUAAUAAAAAAGUGCAUAAAAAAGGUAAAGAAAGCUGUUGAUCAGAACCAGAGAGCAACGAACUAUGGACAUGACGAGCACACCCUAUCUUUGCAACAAACAUGUGUAUCUGGUAUCUCAGAGAAAAGGUCGAAAAGUUAUGUAGAACAGCACAUAACUUUCUGCCAAGAAUUAACUACUCUACUCUGGAGCACUGUCAAUCUGGCGCGCAAGCAGGAAAAAGUCACUAUGAAGUUGAAAAAAGCUAACAACAAGCAGGUCGUUCUGACCUCAGGGUGAACAGAGGCGAGCUGCGAGCAGAUAACCUCGGCUGCUUCAAAAGUUUCGAAGAUAUGUUAGGCUGCUUUUUGAUUACUUAAAACUAACUAUUAGACACUAAUAUUAGCUAAGGUCUCGUCAGAAACCUAACUAAUAGGUCAGCGAUAGUCUAGAUACAUAAGUAAAAUGCCAACAAUCUACAAUUUGGGACGUAUUUUCCUCGCUAACACAUUUAGUAGUUAGCUUUAAGGGAUUUAAACAGCUUCGUUCUCCUCGUGUGAAAAUAAUUCAUCCCUCAGGUACCGAGUCAACCAUUUAAACCCCUAAAUUUCUUCGUUGGGUCAAAGUGUCAAACUACUCCCUAAUAUGAUGUGGCAUCAUAAAUUGGUUCAUCCGGCGUUCAUAUAUUUUCUUUAUUUUAUUAUCUUUUACGACUUGGUGACCAAUUUAACUGGAUUUAAAGGACCUUACUUUUUUCUUCUUUGGCCGGCCGAUUAGGCAUUUUCACUCUAAGAGGAAUUGCAUAGAUUAGAGAGACUUAAGGUGUGUUUGGUUGGGCUGUGGCUUUUGGAAAACUUGCUGUGGGCUGUAGAAAAGCAGUUGUGAGAAAUGAUUAGAGCAGUUGCGAAACUGUAGGCUGUGUAAGAAAUAUCUGUAAUGCCCCUAAAGGUCUGUGGGUGUGUUUAUAUGCAAAUUGCUCGUAACAAAAUAAUAUAUUCACUAAUUCGCAUGUAAAUGACUAUUUUAGAAAGGAAAAAAAUUAUAUGUUCUUCAUCCAUCAAAGUGAUUGGUCUACAUAAAUAGAACAAUAUCCAUCAAAAGGUUUAUACAUUGAUGCCAUCCCUCAACGUUACUAUCCUCCUCUCGCACUAACCAAAGCAUCAGCUAUCCUAAUACGAAUGAAUACUAAUACAAAUGGUAUUCAUGGUAUCCUUAUUCUUCACAUCAUCACUCUCAUCUCCUUGUGUUUGUCUCGUACCACUUGUAUGUUGUACCAAGUACUCCUCAUGAAUAUCAUAUCUCUCGAACUCCUUAUCACCCAUUCUUCAACCAACCAAAAAUAUUAUUUGAUUCAAUUCAUAUGACUAAUGAAAGAUACUGUGACAUCAAUAAAUUAUAAGAACUAAAACAAAAGUGCUAUGAAGAACAAGCAAUCAGUAUGUAGUGUUCUGACCCAUUUGUUCAAGUAUGCAACAUUGACUUCAUUUUAUCUGUGCGCAGAUAGAUGCAACUUUUGCUAGAUAGAUAGAUGGACAGUAGCUGCAAGUGCUCUUUAGUUCAUCAGUAGGUGUGUCAGCAGCUCGUGCUUUUAACUUCAAAAUUGUGAAUUGUCCCUUUCAUGCUACAGAUCAAAUGAUUAGCCAAUCAAGAUUGCACUAGUGAUUUACUUGAGCUUUGCUUUGCGACAGUAGUUCAAGAUUGCACUAGUUACUAGAAUUGAGUGCCAUCAAACAAAAUAAUCAAUGAGUUGAAAUCAAAUGUCUAAAGUGCAGAUUCAAAUUUAGAAGUGGCAGCGCACAUAUCAUUGAGCAAAUACCAAUUCUUUUUUACCAGUCAUAGUGUUCUGACCCAUUUGUGAAAAUCCAACCAAGUGAGGCCAAUUGCUAGGGCAUGAACACAUCAAACAUGAGCAGAUCAGAAAAAGGGAUUCAAAUCUCGGGUGGGGCGGCCGGCGGGGUGCGAAGGGCGGCGGCCGGGGGUGGGGUGCGGCGGGCGGUCGGGGGCAGUGGGCCGGCGAUCGGGGUCGGCGGGUGGUGGACCGGCGACCGGGGGUGGCGGGCGACGGGACGCCGGGGGCGGCGUGCGAAGGAGGCUAACGGUUAUGCGUGGAGGAACGGACGGAGGACUACGCGUCGGGAAAAAUAGAUCGGGGGAGAAAAACGAACCGUUACCUUCAUAACCAGUAGCAGGUGGGUAAUUUUUUAUCCCAAAAGUUCUUGAAAGCAGGGAGAAGAUGCUUUUGAUUUUGUACUAGAGCAAAAACAGCUUUUGGACAAAAGCACAUAGAGCAAAAGCAAAAGCAAGUUGAAAAGUCCAACCAAAGGCACCCUUAGAUCUUGUUUAUCUCCCACUUCAGAUCAUGUAAUUGUGGAGGAGGUAGCUUAUUAGAUUGUAAUAUUAUGGUUUGUGGAUUGUUAUAAUAUGAGAUUUGUUUGUUUACAAUCUGAGGAAUAUGCUAUAGGACACAUCGAUGUGUGGUUGUAUUGCUUAACAAAAGAGGACGUAUUGGUGUAGUUAUUCGAUUCAUGUAAUAUUUGAAAUGUGACUUGCCAUGCUAACAUUGCACACCACAUCAUAUCAGAAACUAGUUUAUUGGAAAGAAAAUGUUCAAGGACUUGAGCUACCAGUUUAAUAGUUCAGAAAUGAAAGUGAGCUUCGUGAAAAAUUGAGGACUAAACUUUGCAUUAUUUUUAUUUUUAGAAAAGUUACCACUCUAUCUGUCUUUAGAUAUAAGCAUUUCUAACUAUGAAUUUGGACAGAUAUUUGUCCAGAUGCAUAGUCAGAAAUGCUAUUAUAUAUGUGGGCUGUGACUGUGAGAGUAUGGUAUAAAGUGUAUUCUAUAUUUUCUCCUAAUCUCUUUUCAUUUUGCCACUCCAAUUUUAGGGUGUGCAUGAGCAGCGAAGAGUGAGAAAGUGUGUAUAAAGUGCAAAAUGCGGAAUAUGCACCAUAACCGUCAUAAAAGAAUUUCAGACGAUGAAAAAAAAAACUUGUUUGAUGUGGUCUUGUAUUGGGGCAGUAGACCAUUCAACAGCAGUAUUCAUUUCCUUUUACUGAAACCUCUCCAACCCCCACAGUAAAUGAGCAUGACGAAGAAGAAAGAACUCCCUCUCGUCUCCUCCUCCUCUCUCUAUAAAACAAGCGAAGCAAGCGAACAGAGCAGACCGGCAAGAACAGCUCCCGCCGGCCAGUCAAGAGCGGCGCAAUGCCUCCUUCCCUGCACCCUCCCCACCCCCACUCCCACAAGCUCAAGCGGCGCAGCCACCCGGCCGCCAUGGCCAAGAAGGGCCUGGUCGCCAUCCUCUACAAGUUCCGCGACGUGCACCGCCCGCCGUCGUCGCCGCCCUCACCCUCGCCGUCGCCGUCGACCCCGUCCGCGCACUACGCCCAGCGCUGCUACCCGCCACCGCCGUCCGCGUGGCCGUGGCCGUCGUGCCGGCACCCGCGCACCAGCUCGUUCCGCGGGCCCAAGGACGCCGCCGCCGCCGCCGCCAUGUUCCGGACCGCCAACACCGUCUACGACACGGCCUCGGAGCAGUUCCUCCGGCGCUCGUCCAUAGACGAGGCGGCGUGCAUCGACCAGAGCCCCCUGGCGUUGCCCGAGGAGGCCGCCGCGGCGGAGCAGGUGGAAGAGGAGGAGAAGGAGAUGCAGCUGCGCGAGACGGCCGUCGUGCGCGGCGUGCGGUCGGAGCGGCUGUUCUUCGAGCCGGCCGGCGCGGAGUUCUUGCCCAAGCAGGUAACACAUUUUGCAUGCCUUGUGUGAUGUCCGACGAGAAGGCACCAUUCGAAUCGGUUCUAACGCGAGUGUGGUUUCAGGAGGCGGCGCCGGCGAGAGGCAAGAACGAGGCGGCCGCCGUGGUGCGCGUCAAGGACGAGGAGUCAGCGACCGCAGCGGCACCCGACAAGAACGAGUCGGCGGCGGAGGUGAAGGGCGUCGCGGUGGUGGUGACGGUGGAGUCGAAGGAUCCCUACCGCGACUUCCGGGCGUCGAUGGCGGAGAUGGUGGCGGCGCACGGGCUGCGGGACUGGGAGGCCCUGGAGGAGCUCCUGGCGUGGUACCUCAAGCUGAACGCCAAGGGCGUCCACGCCGCCAUCGUCGGCGCGUUCAUCGACCUUCUCGUGAGCAUGCAGCCGCAGGCGGCGGCGUCCCCGAUGCCGAGCCCGCCGUCGCUGCCGUCGCCGUCGCCCUCGUCGUCGUGCAUCACGUUCGAGGAGUACUCGUCGGCGACCUUUGACGAGGAAGAAGGCAAGAGCUGAGCUGAGGCUGAGGAGUUCAGUUUUUUUUUUUUUUAAAAAAAAAAAAGUUCUGGUCUCGUUCAGAGAUGGCAGUUUUUGUGAAAUAUUCUGUGUGCCUGUGGAGGAAUGGAAGGUGAGGCCUGAAUGUAGCCAUGGAUGUAUGUACAGUUGCUAAAACUAGUUGAUGCUGACCAUCAGAGUAGAUUAAUGCCUAAACAACUACUAAUCGAUAGUUUUUUAUUUUGCAUUUUUAUUUGUCCUUUUGAUGCCUGCCCCGUGUGUUGGACUAGACUAACUCUGAAGCAUGUUCCCUCUAUGUGCCUGUUGCUGGUAGCAGCUGUUGUUUGGCUGAUUUUCUUAACAAUUUUCAUGGCAUUUGAGCACAACUCGGCUCAAGUUACUUGUGUGAAGAUCCAAACAAAAGUUGAGUCAAACAUUAGCCUAAAGCCUUGCAGUGAGCAUUUAGCACUGUUGGUGUUUUCACCAACAUGUCAUAAUUUUGAGAUGCUUGCAGCCCUUCAAUGCGUCAGCAGGUCUCCGAUCCGGACAUUGUAGUCUCACACUCAGCUGUUGCGUCCAUUCUGAUUCACUGCCCUUGUAUAUAUGAGUGAAUGAAGGCAACCAUUGUUUGAUUGAACCCAUGGUUGCGACAGCUGUUGUCUUAGUCUAAGACUGGUUUUGCUAGUGUGAUUUUCAAAUGACAUUCUUAGGAAGAGAAAUGUUGCGUAUUGUAGCAAUUGUCUACCGGGGUCUUUUGGCAAGAGCCACCUUCAUUUCCAGGCUUGAGAACGUGUAUUUGGAUCCAUCUUUGGAUCAAUCCCAGCUAGAGCUAUCCCGAAAAUUUAAGCUCUAAUUGGGUGAGCCAGCUACCGGCCGGAUAAUGUUACCUAGGAAAUUAUUAGCUGGAAAUAGCUAGGUCAUAUUCAAAUUAAUUAGAGUUAAAAUUAGCUGGAUAGCUUUAACUCGAGCAAUGUAUAAAAUAGCGGGCUAUGAGAUUUAGCGUAGAGUUGUGCUCAACAGCUUAUAGCCUGCUAAUUAGUACAACGCUAUUGUAGCGGCAGCUAGCAUCAACCGUUAUAGCUUCGCUAUAGCCCGCUAUUUCGUACAUUGAACUCGAGUGGACUCAAAGUUCCAAAUGCCCUUAGAAGAAGACUCUAAGCUGUAGAUCAAUCCGAUGGUAGUGGUAAACAUGAGGUCGAGGAAUGCCACUAGCCAUGGGUGCUGGAGAUCAACCGGCUCCGACUAUCAAAUAGCUAGGGCAGGAAGAGUAUAAAGAUCUGUCUAUACCUCACAUUUGAGAUUUAGCUAUCUCCCAAUAACUAUUCCUUUGCCCUCCGAUUGCCAAUCAAUGGUUCAGAUCCGCUGCUCUACCUCCACCCCUUCUUAUCUUCUUUCCUGAACCGUUCCGUCAUCCGUCUCCUCCAACGAUGCCUCUUUCCUCCGUCUCUCCCGCCGCACCCUGCCUCCCUUCUGGCUCCGGCGGGCUCCGCCGCCUCUCACGAGCCGCUCCCACCUCCCCGUUCCGGUGGCCUUUGCCCCCGCGUCCUUCUUCUUCCUCCCUCUCCAAAGCUCCCCUGCCUCCUGUUGGCUCCGGCGGCCUUCGCCGCCUCCGCCGACGAAUUGCCGCCGGCGCUAAUCUCUUGGAGCUUAACGCCCUCGCCGCCUCCACUGCCCGGCUCCGGCGGCGCCCACACCGCCGCCGUCUCUUCCACCUCCACCGCCAGCCGGCGAGCUUCCCCGGAGCUUCCUCUACCGCUGGGCAUGGAGGUAACCACCCAACCCCGAAAACCCCAAAAUCCUAACCCCGAAUCCCUAUCCUUAAUUCAAGUUCAAAUAUAAAGUUUGGAUGAUGGAGAGAUAACUAAAAAUCAAACGUUUGAGGAGUAAAUCUGUAUAACAAUUGCCAGUGUAGUUGAUACGGUGGCAAGUGCUUCAUAGUGUUGGGUUUUACUCCGAGUUGAGUUGGGUGAGGGUGGCGCUCGAUAGACCGAGCCUACUGAAUACUAGUCAAUAAAUAAGGCCUUGCCCCCACGUCGUCAGCGGCAGUCCCUUUCGGUGCCGGGCUUGCCUUGAAUGCGUGGAAGACGCGUACAGGGGGCCCAUGAAUCUGUAGCUGCUUAUCAUGACGUGACAAUCUCGCAGGACAUGGCGCGCGAGCGAGCAAUACCAGCUCCAGCUAGGCGAGGUCCCAGCUGUUCUCUUCCGAUCCACGGCGAACUGUGCCAGUCGAGUUCGACUCUCGUGCUGACCGGCCUCCGAGACCGAGAGUUACAUGUGUGAAAAUUUCCAUCGAGCAGAAUGACCGUGUGCCGUAUAGUUCAGGAAGUCUAAGAUCACUCUUAAACCAAAAGUGCACCUGCAACUAAGAAGCUCUGUUAAUUUGUAGCCCACAUUCCACAAUUCCACGUAAAAUUUCCGGACGUUUACUGGCAUUAGACCACCAGUGCAGCUAUCCUUCCAAGUAACCUUCCUCCCGUGGGGCCCUGAAGAGCCAAGCUUCCUAGCCUAGCUACGGAGACAGGCUACUACUGACCCAGAGAUGCUUGCACGAUUGGAGUCACAGGCUCACAAGCCAGCCGGUUGCGUCCCCUUCCUGUUCACGCAAGGCGUGCCUGCAACAACACAAGAAAGAAACCGGAGACGCUCACGAUGAUCGACGAAGCUCCAUACAAAAUUCAAGGACGGGCUGGCUAUCCGCCGAGGCGCCGAUCACCUCCGACCGGCCGGCCGGGCUUCUCCGCCUCCGUUCAUCGGUGGGCGCGCCGCCGGCCUUGGCGGCAACAGCGACCGCACCGUUCGUGGUCCUUUGCCGUAGGCAACGUCGAGAUCGCGCGAGCACCUAACGUAACCAACUGUGUACCCCGCCCCCAUCCGUUUGAUGCGUACGUGCCAUGGCGUGAACGCGUGAUGGUACGCAUGGAUCUAUACUACACAGGCUCCACCAUCAGAAUUGCUGCUGCUGAUGGAGAUGAACAGGUACAGUCAAACCAGGCCCAUUAUCAGAUCCCAGGCCCAGAUGUUGGUGCACGUGUGCACAAAAGUGAAAGAUCCAGGGAUGGGUUGGGUUGUAACAUGGGUUUCUUCUUGCAAAACGAGCAAUGUUCUGAAGUUAUAUUUCACCGAUCCUGUGGAUGCAGGCUCAACAGUUUGUUUGGUUAAACUUCGCGUAGGAGGGGUUGAUCUCUCUGGGAUUUAUCGCCUUAUAAUAACUUUCCUAAUACGAAGAGUACUAACAACUUUACAGGGAGGCCACUAUGGUAGAGUCAAGGAUUGGAUCCAUCAAUUCAGAUUCCAGGACAGCAGGGACUUGUUUAGUUGCUAAAAUUGGGAGUGCCAAAAUUACUGUGCUGGCACUGUAGCACAUUGUAGCGUUUCGUUUGUAUUUAUGAAUUAUUGUCCAAACAUUGACUAAUUAGGCUCAAAAGAUUCGUCUCGCAAAGUACAACAAAACUGUGCAAUUAGUUUUUAAUUUCAUCUACAUUUAGUACUCCAUGCAUGUACCGCAAGUUUGAUGUGAUGGGGAAUCUUCUUUUUGCAUAGUGUCAAAGUUGGGAGUUGGGGGUGAAGUAAACAAGGGUUAGGAUUUGCUUUGUUUGGUCUUUGCUGUUGUCUUUACUGCAGUGCUGUCUUUGCUACUGAAGAAAAAAGAACAUAAAUCUUUUCUUCGGUACCCCUCCGUUCCAAAUUGUAGGUCGUUUUGACUUUUCUACAUUCAUACAUAUUAUUAUGUACUUAGACAGACACUAUAUCUAGAUGCAUAAUAAUAUCUAUGAAUUAAAAAAGCUAAAAUAACCUACAAUUUGAAACAGAGGGAAUACCAGUGAGAAAAAGUAGAGGACGCUGAACUCGGAGUCUCUGAGCACAAAGCCACAAACUCAUGGAUAAGGAUUCAGAGGUGCAUAUACUUGGACCACUACAGAAACUCUCUCUUGCCAGGGAACGCAAAUCAGUACUGUACACAAACUAAAAUUGUAACAAGAUGUGAUCGUACAACUACAUAAACAUCAAAUCUCAUCAAGAUCUUGCCUGCUGAAAAGAAAAAAGCUUAAAGAGCAGUGCCUCCUCUGCUGUUGGUUCAAAUGUAAUGCUCUUGAUAUUAAUUCGAUCAUUAAUCAGAAAGCACCUGAAAACUUCUCACAAAAUAAAAUGUCCCCGCACUUAAUAUGAACAGUUCAUAUCCGAACGGAUAGAGUGGGUCAUGACUGACUACAUAGAGAAGAUACCGUUACUGUAUGACUCUCCUUGUUACUCACUAACUCAGACCUCACUUUUAGUUUUUGGUGGGUUUUAUGUCACAUCACACCAAAUGGCACCAAAUUAUGCCUAAAUUAUUGACCCCCCUAUUUUGUUUAAGUUUCUGCUUUGCACACACCCAACUCAGCUUUCCCUUUUUUUAACAAAAAAAAACUCAGCUUUCCCUUUAGUAUAUUCACAAAGCAUCCCUUGAUCCACAACUAAUCAUGUGUCCUAGAUCCAAAAGGCAGUAAAGCCCCAACUGAUGCCCCCACCCAUCAUUGGCCAUCUAAUGCAACUGCAAGGGCAAAUCCGUAAUUCUUCCGCCCCAGGACCAGAGAGAUGGAGAUCCUGCCGGUGCCGGAGCCGCUGAGCUAACCACCGGCCGGCACUUGUCUCAUCGCCUCUAACUUUGCAGGUAAGCAAGUCAUCAGACACCAAACAGGUCAUCUAGGCAAGGCGGUUAGGCCAUCGUCUUGGGCGCCCAAGAAGCAAGAACUCAAGAGAACUCAGACAGACCUCGCCCCCCUCCUCCUCUUCCUGCGGUGAAUUCCCCGCUGGCUUCGAGAUGUCGACGGAACUCCUGACGAAAUUCCUCACGUGAGUGCCCCUUCCAUCCCUGUUCCGGGCCGUUCUUGCCUGAAAUUUGGUGGAAUUUCUCGACGCCGUGCGGUGCUUCCUAUUGUGUUUGGUCCCUGUUCCUGGAAGAAGAGGGCUGUGCAUGGCUCAUCUGCUUAUUGUGUGGCUGCAGGUUGUUGUUCGGAUACGCGAUGCCGGCGCUGGAGUGCUUCAAGGCGAUCGAGCAGCGGCCCGGCCGGGCUGACCAGCUCCGGUUCUGGUGCGAGUAUUGGUAAUGAUUCAGAAGCCUGUAUCUCUGGGUAAUUGAUCCAUUUUAGCUUCUGCGAUUUGCUUAAUUGGUGGUUGGGAGUAAUUCGAAUUCGAUAUAAAACUAAUAGAGAGAAUUGGAUCUGGCAGCAAACCUAGUGCCUGUCCAGAAAAGGGGAUUGAUUUCUAUCUAGUAGGUACAGUGUUGUUUCGCUUGGUGUGAAUUCAGUAGCAGAUUCUUUUUUUCUUCUGAGAAGAAGGAACAUGUAGGCUGUAGCAAUUUCAUUUCAUAUGGGAAUGGGAUGCAGAACCACAAGAUCUUCAUUUUAUCUGCUAAAACUUUUGGGGUGGUUGACUUAGGUCUUAGGAUGAUAAACUGAAAGUCUGACCUGACAUACUGUGAUGUGCUUGGAGAUUUUGGUCUUGCUAAGUUUGACGAGUUUCAUCAACCUUGCAGGAUUAUCCUAGUCCUCCUGGUCAUGUUCGACGAAAUUGCCGGUGUUCUGAUUUCCAAGUAAUCACCAAAACACCAACCAUACCUUCAUUAAGAAAAUUGGUUGUGGUCUGACAAUUCCCUCCAUUCCAAUAACAGGAUUCCAAUGUACUACGAGCUCAAGCUUGCCUUCCUCGUGUACCUGUGGUACCCAAAGACAAGGGUAUGCACUAGAAACACAUAACACUAACUGCAGUGCAGCAAGAAAGCCGUGGAUGUGCAUACCCGCAAUCUGUUGAUCUAUGUCAGAAUUAUUUUUUGAACCAUAGUGUGCCUUCCAAUAUAAUUGACUGAAUUCUGAAAAAAAAAAUCAUUCUGUUAUGAACCAGGGAACAGACAUCGUGUACGAGACGUUCCUCCAGCCACUGGUGAUGCAGUACCAGCCCAACAUCGAGGCGAGACUGCAGUACCUGCGCGCCA
rnacentral:lncRNA from 1 species